AAUUUACAAACAAUUGCACUAAUAUCAACAAAACAAAAUUGAAAAAGAAGAAUAAAAAACAGAACUUCAAUAUAACUUUACAAUUAUUGAACAUUUAAAAGAAUGUUUCUAUGUUAGAUUUUCAUUCAUAUAAUUUAUUCCACAAUCAAAGAACUAUAAACCCUAACACACAUUAUCUUCUACAACAACUAAUCCCCCCCCCCCCCCAAAAAAAAUGAAUUUCUAAUUUUUUUUUUUUAAAAAGAACAUAAAUAUUUCCAUUUUUGGGUAUAUAUUAUAAAUUACAGAAACCCAGUACCAGCAAGACCAUGAUGUAAAAGAUUAUGAGCAAUAGCAUCUCUAGCUUUCAAUGAACUCACCGAUCUUAACCCAUCUUCAGCCACCAUUUCAUCAUCAAUAACCUCAAUUUUCAACUCAGGAUCGAUCCCUUCCUUCUUCAUUUCACAAAUAUUAUGUAAAACGCAGCAUGCUCCGAGCACCACCGGCAAAUCCUGUAAUUUCACCUCCGUUCUUUUCUGUAAACAACACCAUCUCCCUUUUAAUCUCCCAAAUGCUUCUUUAGCUACCUUUUGGAUCUCACCAAUCUUUUCAUUGAAUGCGUGUUGUGUCCAUGUUAAAUGCUGUUGAUUGUAAGGAACUAAAACCCAAUCCAUUAAUGGAUACCCAGAGUUUCCGACCACCCAAACGCCGUUCAAUAGACCACCGUUUUUAGCCCUUUGGAAAAGAGCUGAUUUUUCGAGGACUUGAUCGUCGGUCAUUGAACCGGGCCAACCGAUACAUACGUCGGUGAAAACACCGGUCGGGUCGACGACGCCUUGUACGGUGAUCGAAUACGACGUUUUCUGGUUCCGUUCUGUAUGUCUUUUAUUGAAAUAUGCAGCCACGCUUAUCUUCGGAGCGAUGAUUGGUAUAUGUGUAGUGUACAUCGAUCCGACGACGUUUGGUAUUCCAGAAAUGCCCUCGAAUUGUUGUUUUAUUUUCCGUAACGAGUCUUCGUCCGGCCAUUGUAAGUAUUUCGGCAUCAAAACGUUGCGUAUUGCUGAACAGACUUCGAGGACCAGUUUGUGACACGUCGAGAUGCCUAAACCGAAUCGUUUCGAAACGAGCCGUAACGGUUCACCCGUCGCCAAACGCCAAAUGCAAACAGCUACCCUUUGUUUCACCGGGAUCGCGUUCCGUAACGUGGUGUCUUCUUUGGCGAUAACGGCUUUUAGCUCAUCGCAUAUGAGGUCAAACGUUGACUUGCUCAUCCUAAACGCCUUCUUGAAUUCUUCUUCCGGGUAAUCGGGUCGGUUACAUUCAUCCCACCAUGCGUUUGACCUAUCUUUCACCCAUAACCGUCUCUGUUGACCCGACCCGGAUUUCCCAUUCCCGUCCUCAGCCACAUGAUUCGAAGCGGUAGCAACCACAGUCGCCGCCUUGACACGGGAUUUCUUCCGCUUUACACGGUCGGUUUCGUCGAUUUUAGAGUAAUAAUCAUUUAAAUUAGAGUGAAAUUCAAGCAUGGUUCGGGUUCCUUUAGUAUGAGUAGACUCCAUAACCGAUUUCUCUUCUUUGAACGCAUCGUUUCGUUCCUCCCGAUCUCGCUUUUCUUGCUCAUCAAGCAAGAUUAACGAAGUGAUGAUACCAUUCAAAUCUUUCUUCUUCGUUUCACGACCACUGGAACAGCUAUCGUCGUUUUCGCCGUCGUCUUCGUCGGCAGUGAACCCCUCCUUUCGUCGCCGUUUGCAAUUGUCACCGUUAUUCAUUUCAAAAGAAAACAAAGAAAAACAAGAAAAAAAAUGGGGUCUUGAAAUGCCAAAGCUGAGAUAUUCAUAUAUAUCAAAGAGAUUUAAGGUGAAAUUGGAAAGAUACUGAUUUUUUUUUUUAAAAAAAGGGCAAAAAAUAGGGUUUGAAAAGUGAAGAAAAGGUGUGAAAAAGGUGAGGGGCGUGUGUGAACACAAAGAGGUUCAAUUUGACAAAUGAAGCAUUAUUUGUGCAUCGAAGCUUUUUAUAUGUGAGACAAUUGUUACGGUAAGGUGGCAAUCUAUCAACAUUAAUGAGGCUUAUCUAUUUCGCUCUUUUAAUCAUUGAAUUUAAUUUUGUAUUCUUAAUAUAUCCACCAAAAUAGAUAUAUCUUUAUACUUAAAUGGGGAAUAUAAAACGAUAUAAUUGUUUAUUUAAUUUUUUAUAAAUUGAUAAUUUAAUUAUUUGUUGAUUAAAUGAAAAAAAAAGAAGAAGCAUUUUUCAUUCUUCUAAAAAUUUCUAAUUUAAUUUUAUUCAUUUAAACAUAAAUUUUGAAGUUUUUUUGAUUUUAUAUUUGAUUCCAACACAAAAUUUCUAACUUUACUUUGGUGUGACUACAUCAACACUUACGAAAUUAAAAAAUUUCACUAUACCAAUCAAUAAUUCAAAAUUCAUAUCACAAAUGUAUGAAACCAAUACAUAACGACUUAUUUGGCUCUUCAACUUUAUAAAAAAAAAAGGUCAUUUUAGUCAUCAAUUUAAUAUUUUUUACCUAUUUGCCCUCAAACUUAUGUUGUUAGUCAAAUCAUACCAAAAUAAAUGAAAAAGUUAAUAUUUGUUAACUUUACUCACAUGACAUCCAUGUAUAUGUCACACCAACAAUUAAUAAUUUUUUUAAAAUUUUAAAAAUAUAAAAGUCAAAAAAAUAAAAUUAAAAAAUAGAAAUAUUAAAAUGAUUAAAAAUGAUAAAAAUAUAACAUUUAUUUAAUAAUAAAAAUUAUGAUAAUAUUCUAUAAGAAAAGAUUUAAUUUAUUACAUACACGUGGAUUGUUAUGUCAACAAAGUUAACAACGCUGACUUUUCUAUUCAUUUCGGGGUGUUUUGACAAAAAGCGCUAGUUUAACAUGUAACAUUCCAAAAUUUUCAACUGGACACGUGACACAAUUUUGGUAACUGAUACAGUGAAUUGGUGAGAAAAUUUGGAAAUUGAAUUGGUUAAAGGAAUCUUAUGGAAUCAAAGUUGAUAAUCGAGAUGAGAAAAUUUUGAAAAGAAUUUAGAAGUGGAAAUGUGACAAAAGGAUCAAAUUGAAAAUUUUGAAAAUUUAGAGAUUAAAUUGUAAAUUUCACAUUUUCACCAGAAAAAGGGAAAAACUUUAAUUCUCGCCACUCAAGGACUUAUAUUAAAUAUUUAUUAUGAUUUAUAAUCUUGAAUUGGUCUUAAGUAUUGAGUUUUGAAAAAAAAAUCACUAAAAAAGACAAAAGGGGGAAAUAUGGUAAUUUUGCCAUAAAAGGGAAAUUUGCUCAAUUUCCGAGACCUUUAUGAUGGAAAUAAUAUUUAAAUAUGAUAUUUAGUAUCCGAAAUUAUUUUAGACAGUGGGAACUCCGUAUUAAGGAAAUGACCCACAUGUUGAUAUUUUUGUAGGGGACGAGAACCCUUAUCAGCCUCAUUUUCUCUAUUUUUCUUUUUUCCAGCUAGUAGCAUUAGCCAUUGUUCUUCUUCUUCAUCUCCUUGCUUAUUUCCUCAUUUUCUCUCAAAAUUUCCACUACCCACAUUGAGAUAAUGUUGAAAUCUUCAUGAAAUCAACCCUUAAUCUCAUUUCCUUCAUCAAUUUCAGCCAUGGAAGCCUAGGGUUUCAUGAGUUUUAGUGGGAUAAUUUAUGGCUUGAGUGAGAAAACUCUAAUAAGGUAAGAAAUGAUUUCCUACACCUACGUUAGCUUGAUAUUUGCAAUGAUUUGUCAUGAGAAAGCUUAGAAGAAAUUUAUAUUUAUUUUUGAAUGUAUUUUUGUUAUACGAAAAUAAAGAGAUGGUGAUUUAUGGAAAUUAUAAGCUUAAAUUACGAUAGAGUGGAGCUCAUGGAAGCUUGAUUAAGUGUUUUAGAACAUCCAUUGAAGUAAGUACCUUGGAUACUCUUAUGUAUCUUAUAUUAAAGUUUAUGAAUUAGGUAAAAAUAUAGGUGAUAAAUUUGGAAUGGAAAUUUGUAAUAAACAUAUGCAAAUUCCAUGGUUUAAAGGAUAUAUGAAAUAACUCUAUAACGUGUUAUGUUGGAAUUGUUAGUUAAGAAAUGCUUUGUAAAAUAAAAAUAUGCAUGAUAUGGAGAUAUUAAUUGUUAUGAAUGUGUUAGUAAGCAUGGUUUGACAUAUAAAAUUAUAUUAUUAAUGUAAAAAUAUGAAUAGAUAGCAUUGUGGCAAAAAAUAAGACUUAUUGGUGAAUUUAUGUUUUUAGUCGAUAUCAUGUUAAAAUAUGAGAAUUGAUAUGUAAAAGAUAAAGAAGAAUGAAAAUAUGACUUUUUGCUUUUGGGAGCUAUUAUAUGAAAUGGAUAUGUUUACAAUGCCUAAAGAAAUAUGAAAAUGAGUAAGUAUAUAAAAAGAACGCAUGGUGCCUAUAUGUGGAGAUGAACACGCUCAAAAGGCCUUUAUUAAUAUGAUUUUGAACAUGAAUAUUCUAAGGUGCCCUUAUAUGAUGUGUGUACAUGCGUUUGUUGGAUACUUGUUAAUUAUAAUUGUAAAGUGCCCUAGUAGACUUACUAAAAUGUUAGGAUAUGGUUGGCAUGCCAAUUAGGGGCUAUAGCGUGUUGGAGUUUUGUCGGAGUUUUCACACUUAUGUGCACUUUAUAUUGCCUUCAAGCCUUGCACUUAAGUGCAUCUUGAUGUGUAGUUUAUGCUUUCAUGAACUCUUUGGUGUGGUGGAGGGAUGCUGGCUCUAUCUUAUAGUUUCACACUUCGGUGCUCAUUGGUGUGGUAGAGGAGUCUCGUGUACCCGAGUUGGUUUUACUAGAGUUUACUAUGGGCGAAAAUGAGUUAAAUGUUGUUAAUAAACUUUAAAUGUUACUAUAGAUGGAAAAAAGUAAGAGCAAGUGUUAUGAACUAAGUGUCAUGUAACUAAAAGAGAUGAAAAUAAGGUAAAUGUAUAGGCAAUCAAAAGAGAAUUUCACAUGAUAAUGAGAUUUAAUAGUGUGGGACCUAGUGAACUUACCUUAAUCGAUAUUAAGGAAAUUGAUGAUUUAAGCAAGCCAUAGUUCAAAGAAAUGAAAACGAUGUAUAUGAAUCACAUAAAGACUAAUGACUAUAAAUGGAAAAUGUGAAAGAACAUGUCAAGCUACUAUAGAUUCUACUUAAGAGUUUUGAAUAGAUAUAUUUUCAAUAAAUGAAUUGGUUAACAAAUUGUUAAUGUGUAAGAUGAGCCCCUACACUUCGGUAAAUCAAAACAAAACAACGAAUAAUACUAAAAUGUGGCUCGAAUGAAACUAACAUGAAAUCCAUAAUUAAAAUUAAUUCAAUAUAAAGCACUUGAAAUUCAGAAUAUAAUCACACCUAAAUCAAAAUAAAUAUGAACAAAAUCCACAUAUAAUAUGAAAAAAAAUGAUCUACAUAUUAUAUUUGUAUAUUGUAAGACUCAAACUUCAAUCCUUAUGUAUCAAGCAUCAUUGCUUAUUUAAAGGUAAAACUCUUUAGAAUUAAAAACAUUAAAAAAAUAGCUCAAUUUUGAUAUUUAGAUUUGCCAUGGAAACAUUUAUAGACAUUGAUUUUAAUCAAGGAAUGUAUUUUUCAUAAAAAAAAAUUGUAUUUAACAAAUUUAAAUUAAGGUUAAUAUAAUUUUUGAUACUUGAAUUUUGUUUUAAUGUUCAAUUUGGUAUUUGAGUUCUUUUGUCACAAUUCACAUACCAAAUUAAAUGGACAUAAUGACAAAUUAAGCCCUUAACAUUUACAUUUAUUGUCAAUUUGGCUCUUAAUUUUUUUGCUAGCUUUGACCUUUAACUUUUUAAAAAAGUCGAAUUCGGCCAUCAGCCUUCCAAAAAAAAUAUAUUUUUCUUAAUGAAAAUAUUGAUUAAUACAUUAAAUUUUUAAAUAUAGCAACACAUAUGAUGAUUGCCACACUAACAUUGUUAAAAAAAUUAAUAUUUAGUCAGCGUUUUCAUUAAAAAUGCAAUUUGAUUCAUUUUGAAAUUUAAUGAUCAAAUUUAAUUUUAAAAAAAUUUAAAUUAAAUUGACAAAAAAAUUUAAAUAUUGAGGACUAAAUUUAUCAUUAUAUUAAUUAUAUAUUAAAAAUAAAGUAUGAAUUAGAUUGAAAGAAAGUCAAACGUUACAACUUAUGACUGGUGGCGGUCGGUGUGGGGCGGUUGGUGAACUUUCUUUUGCUUUGCGUCGCAGACCCUCCAUUUGACUUGGUCAAAUUCUAGUUUUAGUCUUUUUAUUAUACUAAAUUUUAUAAUUUAAUCCUUGAUUUUAAUUUGGCAUACUUUUAGCAUAUCUAUUUUGAUAUUCACCGUCAGUUGCUAUCAUUAAUGUGAAAUCUUUUUAUUUUUACUGGUAUUCAAUUAUAUAGUUAGGAAACUAAAUACUUGAGGAUCCUUUAUAAAAUAUUUCACCUCAUCACUUGACAUUAUAAAAAUAAAAAUAAAAACUAAAUUUUGUAAAUUUUAAAUAAAAUAAUUAAGUCUUGACAUAAAAAUAAUUAAUAUCCGAUUUUUCAGUUUUUUAAAGAAAAUUUAAAAUUUUUUAAUAUACUUUUUGAAAUUAUUUUCACUAAUUUAUAUAUAAAAUAUUACAAAAAAAUUAAAAACUACUUAUAAAUUAAAUAGAAAUUGAAUUUUGUUUGGAUUGUAAUAACUCUUAUCUUAUAAAUCGAAAAUCAAAUUGAAUCGAAUCAAAUAAAUUUAAUUAAUAACUUACUCAAAAUUUAAUUGAAGUCGAAACAAACACUAUAGUUAGAAUGAUUUUUUAUUUUCCCGAUUUUUAUCAUAAUCUACAAAUAAAUGGAUUUGCAUGGUUGUUUGGACAUGACCUAAAAAAUAUUAAAACUAUUGGCUUAUAAAUCAAAUUAAAAAUCAAUUGAAUAUUUUUAUUUUAAAAUUUUAAAAAUUUAUUUAAUCGAACUAACCAUAACUAUUCAAAACGUUGCAGACUUGAGUCAUUGGCAAUGACGUACUCAAUAAUCAUCCCCAGAAAGAAACAAGUAUAGCAAGAGAUGCUUUGCUUGCUGAAAUUGACAAUUGACCCUUUUUAACAAUGGAUUCCUUUACAUUAUUUUUUAUGCCAAUGUCCAAUUUUGUGGAAAUUUAUGUCUUUUUGUCUACCUGCUUUUCAUUUAUUCUUUUCGCUUUCUCUUUUACCUUUUCUUUUUUUAGAUAAAUUACAUCUAAAAUCAUGAAACUAUUAAUAAAUUUAUAUUUUGGUCAUUUAAUUUCAAUAAAUUAUAAAAAUAAUUAUUGAAUUAUUCAAAAUUUUUCAUUUAAGUCAUUGAAUUGUUAAAAUCGUUAUUGUAUGACUUUCUUUGUUCGCAUCUCCUACAUCAAUCGAAAACUCUCUUUUAGUUAUUUGUCAAAAUGAAUGAAAAAGUUAAUAUUUGUUAACUUUGCUGACGUAACAUACACAUGGAUUGCCAUGUGAAUGUUAUACCACGUCAGCAAUGUUAAUAAACAUUAAUUUUUCCUUCCAUUUUGGGUUGAUUUUACAAAUAAUGUCAGUUCAAGGACUAAAAGAGGGAAAAAAAUAGAUGAAUGACUAAACUGACUUUUUUUAAGAGUUGGAGGGCCAAAAAUAAAUUAUUAUGUAAAAAGAAAAAUAAAAGGGGAAAAAAUUGCAUGGGAAUCUUUAUAUUUCCAUAAAAGUAUAGGCCCUGGAAUAAAGGAUAGAUGACGUUUUGAUCCAACAACUCCCCGGUAAUCAUGCAGAUUUACGUAUACACAUAUUUUAUAUUUACGUUAUUCUAUUUUUAAAUUUUUUUAUUUGAUAAUUAAAAAGAACCUCAUUAUCUUUGCAAUUAUGUAACGUAGAUAAACUAUGCCUAAUUAUGGAUUUAGUCCUUUUAUCUGAAUAUUUUUAUUUAAUCUCUUUAUUUUAAUAUGAGCAUAUUUGAUUCUUCUACUUUUAUAAUAUUAUUAGUAAGUUCAAAUGGAUAAUAUUGUUACUCGUUAAAAUGAUGACAUAAAAUUUCUCUUAAAAAGACUGACUGAGUUUUAAUUCAAUCGACAUAGGUAUUAUUACCAAUGCAGGAGAACAUGGGUUCGAGUGCACUAUCCUCCUACUUAUGGGUUGCAGAGGGGUUAUAGAUAGUUCUAGACAUUUUGGCAAACAACUAAUGAUAAUAUAAAUUUAGACUUAUUAAUAUAAUGUUAUAAAUGUAAAAAAAAAACCCAAAUUAUGCCGAAUAAAUUCUAAACUUUAGUAAACUAGAGGGACUAAAACAACAAUUACACCGAUAAAGCAAAAACAAAACGUUGGUUUAUUUAAUGGAUGAGCAUGUGAUUUGGCAGCUGAAAACAAGGGAAAGAGUAAAAUUAGUAGGAAAGUAGUAGCCUCCAAAAAGAUUAGGGGCUUAAUGCUGCAAUUGACUUGAUUUAGUAAUGGUCAGUGGAUCCAUGUAGGGUUAACAAAUUCAACAUUUUCUGCUGCUACUUUUCCCUUUAGUUUCCCAGUUUUUGAAUAAAAGGAAAGGCAAGUCCAAAAAAAUAAAGGAGUCCUCCAUGUGUUUGUUGUAUCUCCUCUAAGAGCCUUUUUUUGAUCAGUAAAGCAAUGAUUUCUCAUUUUACAUACUAACAUGAGAUAUUGGUAACAGUAAAAGUUGUUGAAUGAGUUUACCUACAAAGUCUGCUUCCUUGUUUCUUUCAAAGCAAUUAUCAAACAUAUUUUUACAUUUAAAUACAUAUAUGUACAUAAUAAAAUUUGUGUGACGCGAAUCUCGUCACUUAUUAAAGAAAUAAAUAUUGUGAUAAAAUAAGGAAAUAUAUGGGGCGAGAGGCUGAGUACCAUACUGUGGCAUGAAAGAUCAAAUCUUGUGAUACACAUCCCACACUCCUAAUUUGAUUAUAUCAAUUUAUUUAUUAAAAGAUUAUUUCUUUUUUAUUUCGCUUGUAAAAUAUUAAAAGAUUAUUAUAUGGUGUAACGGUUUGCGAAAUUAUAAAAUUCAUAAAACUCUAUGGGUAAUGUACAAAAAUAGUUAUUUGGUGUGAAAGCAUGAAACUCUAAAAAAGGGUCAAAAUUGAAGUUCCAAAUAUUUGUUGGGUUUGGCAAAAUUGCAGGAAAACCCAUUUAUAUUCACUAUUCAUUCCAGUCCAACUACUUCUUACGUUCACAUUAUAAAGCACUUUAAUUAUAGUAUACUGAGUUUCCUAAAUAAUAAUUUAAUAAUGGAAAAAUUAUAGCAGAGGUGACUCAACUGUGGUUUUCCUUUUUUUCUCAUCAAAUUAUGAAAAAUUACAAAAUGGUCAUUCUCUUAUUUAAUUUUGUCCUUUUCGGUUACCAGAUGGGUAACGUAAAAAGGAAACACUCAAAAAUCUAAGAUAUUUGGGUGAUAAAAAAAGAAGACAAAUUUUAUAGUUGGGCGACAAAAAAAAAAAAAGAACCAUAGUCGGAUGACUACUAAUGUAGUUUACCCUUUAAUAAUUUGUUCAUUUGAUGAUAGUUAGGAACAAAGUUGUUUGAACCGGACAGGGCCGAUCGAUUGGACUGGUUGAACUGGAAACUAAUCAAGGUAUCGAUCCGGAAAAGAAAUUUGGACUGGUUGACUAAGAAACUAAUACGAAUUGAUUGAACUUGGUAAAAAACCCAUUGAACUAAAUUUUUAAUAUAUAUUUUUAUUCUUUUAAUAAAUUUUUAAUGAUUUACCUAAUUGAAUCAAACAAACUAGUUGAACGGUUAAACCGACAAUUCAUUGACCUAACCAAUUCAAAAACUAAUCCAAUUCUAAAAAUUUUGAUUAAGACAAAGUUAAUCAUACUUCAACUCAGAACAAACUACCCAACUCCAAAGAUUGGAAGUGACUCAUCAACAUUACAAAUUCAUACUUUUUUUUCAAAGAUAUUUUUUUGUUUUCCAUAAGAUGAAGAUGCCAUAGGUUGAAGUGAAUUCUAAUUGAAAUUGGAAGAAUACUUUGCUGGUAAACUAGUUCCAUGUUUGUCUAAAUUAAGCAAUUACAAUAUCAUGUCUUCAAUAAUUUUGUUGGUAACACCAGACAUCAAAUUGGUUAAAUAUUUGCUCGUGAAUUCUAAUAUUAUAAUUUUUUUUUAAAAAUUUAAAUUUAACUUUUUUUAUUUUAAAUAAAUCUAUUUGUUUCAUGACAUCUUUUAUUGGUCAAAAGAUGUCACAUGGCGUUUUUUAUUAAACAAAGUUGUCUAACAUAUUUUUUAAAUGACCAUUACAAAAAGGACUAAAAAUAGAGAAAUUGUACCAAAAGAAUUAAGUACCAAAAUAGAAAAAUGAGUAUGCUUUUUGGGCCAAAUUGUGAAUUAUACAUUUCCUUUCUAUUAUUUAAAAAACGGUGAGGAACUAUGUGGCUUGCGGUGUUUGGUGAGGCCGAGAGUUAGGGUUAGCUCUGAACUCAACAGUUAAAUUGCGCAAAUUACUAACCUCUGUUUUUUGUUCUUAACGAUGCCAAGAUAGAGAUGAGAGCUGGCAGAGGAGGGCGUCGCCAGGUAUGGGUAGUUGGCCACUGGACCGGAAGCCACUACUUGUCCUAGGCAAUUACAAGUACUAAAUCGUAAACCUUAGAAAAAUAGGGGUCAUUUUGUAAUUUUCCCAAUUAUAUAUUUUUGUAAUUUUGGUAUUUUUUAAAAUUUCUUGUAAUUUUUUUUAAUUUUAAUAAAAUAUAGUUAAGUACUUGUUUUAAUAUAAUCUAUACUGCUGUAUAAAAGGAAUGUCCCAAGGUUCCACAACCGACACCUCUCCAUUGUUUUCUCCCCCUUUUUUGACAUAACAACAUAAUGAGUAAAUUUCAAGUUCAAUUCCUCUACUUUUUUUAGAUUAUAAGAAUGGGUAAAUUUCAAUUUAAUCUCUAUAUUUCGGUUAAAUUUGAGAUUUAAUCUAUAUAUCUUAAUUUUGACAUAAUAUGGUAUCUCAAUUUUUAUAAUGUCAUUUGUUAGUCUAAAUACUUUAUUCUAAUUAAAAUGAUGAUGUGAAUUUUUAAGAAUUGUUAGCAUUGUUAAAAUUCUUUAUUAAAUACCAAGUGAUUUUUUUUUAAUUUCAAAAUACUACAUCAACAAAUUUAAUAAAAGAAUUUUUGCAGUAUUAACAAAAUAAUUUUAACAGUAUGAACAAAUUGACCUAAAUUUUUAAAUUAGAAAAAUAAUUGACUAAAUUUCUGACAAUAAAGACAUAAAGAUUAAAUUUUAAAUAUACGAAGAGUAAAAAAUCUUUGAGCAAAUUAUAAUUUUUAAAUUUUUAUCUUGUAAUUUAGUAAAAAAAAAUAAUUAAUCCAAUGCAAAGCAUGGAUUAAAACUAUAAUAUUAACUAUAUAUAAAAGGAAGGCCUUAAGCUAUUCCUCAAUUUACACGUGUCUCACCAAUUCAUUGGUGCUUUUUUUGAGCUUAAUAUAAUAUUUUGUACUUUAACUUGACAAUUUUUCUUAAUUUAGUAUUUAAUUUUUUUGUCUAAUUUGACACCUGAACUUGAUAUUUUUUCUAAUUUGACACCUAAACUUUUUUUUACUCAAUUUGGCACAUGAACUAGGCAUUUUUCCUAAUUUAGUACUUAAGCCUUUUUUCAGGUUCAAUUUAAUACUUGAACUUAUUAAAUGUUAUGCAAAUUACGCCAAACAAUUAGGCUGUGUUUGUUUACCUGUAAAAUAAUUUACGAAAAAUAUUUUCAUCAUUUUCCACUGUUUUGAUGGAAAAUGAAUUCCCACCAUAAAACCUUCUCCAAAACACGGGAAAAGAAGGCUUUAUUUCAGGAAAAUGUCUUACCGUUUUCAUUUGGUAAGACAUUUUCCAAAGUUUUUUUCUUCAAUAGUAAACGUAACCCAAAGCCUCUUUCCCCUUCUCCUUUCCUUCCCACUCUAAUCUAGUGCUUGCCGCCAACCAGCAACGAUUCCCAACACUAGUCGCCGGCAUUUACCUUUGAUUUUCCUCCUUUUCGCCUUUCGUUGUCGAAAUAUGCAUUGCACCAAUCAACGAUGGUGUUCAUCUUUCUCUCUCGAAGGUAAGAAUGAAAAAAAGGAAGAAAUAUGUGAUUGUUUUUUAGUAGCAACAUGUUGUUUUAGCCUAAUUGGUUGCUGGUUAAUCCCUUUUUAUUUUUUAUUUUUUUUUAUGGUUUUUGUUAUUUUUAUGUUUCAUCUUUUUUGAACUGUGCAAGCUGAAUUUUUGUUGGUGGUAAUGGAAUAAUUAAGAUAUGGUAAUGGUGGUGGUGGCUGAGACACAACUAAUGAGCAAAACUUCAAAGUCUUUAAUUUCUCACAUUAUUUGUUCAAAUGGGAUUAGUGGGCAUAAUUUUAUUUUCUUCCCUUUCUUUUUUCUUCUAAUAGAAAUCAAUUUUGUUUUCCCCUUUUUCUUGGGGUAAAAAAAACUUUUUUUCUUAUAUAAAUCAUUGAUUAGCUCGAAUUUUGACCCAUUAUGGUACAUUUUCUCUAUUUACCCUUCUCUAAUAAUUGAUCUAAUGAAUCAAUUGCAUGUUUUUUCUUCUCUUUUUGCAUUUCAUUUCGAUGAAUUAUUGUUAAAUACAAACAAUUAUAAUGGAACGGAAUGUUAAAAAUGCUCUUUUUGAAUGAUUAUUUGGAUGCAUUUAGUUUGCUUGUAAACUUUUAGGUAAUUCAGAUUCGUGAUGCAACAAUAAUUUGGUUAGUAAUUUCUUGAUAAUCUGCUACAGAAGUUAUGGAUGUUAUGUCUUGGAUAUAAUCUUGUUUCAAGUUAAAAUGAUUUGGUUCAACUUUUUUGCUCUCUUUUAGUAUCAUUAUGAAUUUAUAAUUUUGAUUUUACAAGUGAGUAAUGUAAUCUAAAUCGAAAGGGUAGGUCAAUUUACAGGGUGUAGUCGAGCUCAAAUCAUUCGAAACUCGAUCUGAAAUGCAAGGCUUCAAGCUCAACUUGAGUUUGAUUGAAUUUUGCUUUUAUAGCUGAAGCAAUUUCAGAUAAUAGUCGAACUGGAUGAACCUCAAUUAAAGUGAAAUAUAAACUCAGUUUUUAUACUCAAGUUUGAUUCAAAUUGAAACAAUAGUAAUUAAAAAGAAAAAGCUUGAUUAAGCUCUUAAACUACUUGACUCAGAUACUCAAGUUCAGCUCUUCCACUAGCUCGAGCUUGAUUUGACGAUGGUCAAGAUGAAUUCAAGUUUUUUCAAGUUGAAGCCAAAUAGCGUUUUGUAGCGACGUAAAAAUUUCUGCUUUCGUUCGCUAAUUAAGGCGAUUAUUUGAAAAUUUAAAAACCGACAUUUGAUUUUAUUAAAAAAGGGAGUCGCCACCGAUCUUUUUUCUAAGUGUGACCGGACACCUAAUAAAUCAUCCUUUUUUAGAAAAGAAAACUUAUUCUUGCACAAAAAUGAAGGCCGAAUUUAGGUCUACGUCAAAAGCCAGAGUAAAGUUGGGUUCGGGAGUCGGUUACGCGCGAGGAAGAUAUUAGCACCCUUGCGACGCCCAAAAUUGGUAUCUUGUUAAACUCGUGUUGUCUUGAUUUUCAAAAGUACGAAUUCAAUAUGACAUUUACUCGUGAUCCAAUUGAAAAAUGAGAAUUUUUAGUUUUCGAUUUUUUUUAGAAAGGGUGUCCCGUUUUUUAACACAAGCCGACGAAUUUCACCCAACAUAGCGAUGAAAUCGAUGACUUAAUAUUAAAUCGGUACAUUGCCUUAUUUUUUAAAUUAAUUAAAACAUGAGAAAAAAUAUUCCUAAAGUGAGAAAUUAAAAAUAGAUAAAGGACGCAAAAAAAAUGAUAUCAUUAAUGAAAAAUAUUAACAUGGAAUACUAGAAUAUUAGAAUAACAAUAAUAAUAUUUACAAAAAAAAUAAAAAAUAAAAACAAAUCAUGUACUAAUAAAAAAAUAGGAAAAAUAAUAUAUUUGGUAAUAAUAAUAUAAAAUAAUAAUAUGUACAUAAAAAUACAUAUAUAUAUGCAUAUAAUAAAAGUAUGUAAUAAUAAUAUCUACAACAAAAGAAAAUAUUAGGAAACAUACAUAAAAAAAUAUAUACAUAAAAAAUUUACAACAAUAAUAUAAAAUAAUGAUAUGUACAAAAAAAAAUGUAUAUAUAUACAUAUGUACAUAAAAUAUACACUAAUAUAAUAAUAGUUAUAAUAAUACUCGCAAUAGUAAUAAUUUGUAAUAAUAAUAUAUACACAAUAUGGUAUUUAAAAUAUAUAUAUAUGUAUAUAUAAUAGUAUUUAAGAAUAUAUACAUAAGAUGAUAUAAAAUACAUACAUAGAAUAGUAUAAGAAAUAUAUAACUAAUGGUAUUAAAAAAUAUAUACAUAAUAUAUAUAAAAUACAUAUAAUAUAUAUACGUAUUAGAAAUGAUAAAAAAAAUUAUUAACACACUACAUAAGUAAAUAAAAUAUAAUAAUAAUACUAAAAUAAUUAAUUUAAAUAGUAAAGUAACUAAAAAGAAUUAAAUUGAACUAAAAACAAAAUAUUUGGGGCAAAAUUGAAAUAAAAAUAAAAGGAAAGGACUAUAUUGAACACGCGCGGAAAUAGUGGGGGGGGCCAAAACAGCAAAUAUUCCUUCCCAUCAAAACUCAGCACAUCAGCGAGGACUAAAUUGAAAAUCGCGACAAAUUUCGAGGCCAAAUUAAAAAAACGAAUAAUGACUUAAUUGCAAAGCAAUAAAAAGCGGAAGGGCUAAAAGCGCAAUUAGCCAUUCCUUUAAAAAAACACGCGAAUCCUAGGUGAGUCGGGUCGGGUCGAACCGAUCCAUGUCAAAACGACGUCAUUUUGGGGUUUAAUGGCCAACCCCAAAACGAUGUCGUUUUGGGGGCUAUAAAAGGCCCUUUUUCUUCAAAAAAAUUCAUUCUUGCACUUGAAAAAAAAAAAGAGAGGGAGAGGGGUGAGGUGAUUUCCGGCCACAAGGCCGGUCACCAUCCGGUCACUGGACCAUCGCCGGCCGCCGCGUCGACCAUCGCCGACCGCUGCCGCCGACCACCGCCACGGUGGCCGGGAAAGGUAAAACAUAUUUGAUGUUUUUUUUACUGUAAUAUUUUUUAUCUAUGUCUAUAUAUAUAUGUUUUUUUUAUAUAAAAAUAAAAGAAAUAAGAGUAUAUAUAUGCGAAAGAAGAAAGUAAAGAUAAAAGAUAAAAAAAAUAAACUAAAAAGAACAAGACCUUCGUGUGAUGAAUCGGUUUUUGAUCAGCUUGCUAUCUUUUGUUUAAAUCUUUUUUUUUUGAUAUAUCAAUGCCCCUUUUACAUGAUUUUUGAAUGGCUUUUUAUAGUCAUCUUUUACAUGAUUUUCUAUUAUUUCUUUUUCUAUUUCUUUUGUCUGUCUUGCUUGUUUGCUUUGCUUUUGCAGGGUGUGGCUUGGUGGAGCAGGUGAUGGUGGCAGACAAUGGAUAUUAAAAAUGGGGGGAAAAUGAGGCAAGUGGGAAAGUGGCUAGGUGGCUAGCGUUUCUUGAUUUUUUUUUUGAGUUAAAAUUUUUUUUUGGUUAGGUUUUUUUUUUUUGGUUUAAUGGGCUUUUGAAUUGGGUUUAAUAUUUGGGUUUUGUAAUGGGUUUGGGUAGAUGUAAAUGGGUCAUGGGUUAAGGGUUUUAGUGGGUUUAGAGGUUUGGUUGGGUUUUGAUGUAAUCGGGCCCGGGCAAAUUGGGCUUCUACCUAACCAAACCUCUAAACCCACUAAACCCCUUAACCCAUGACCCAUUUACAUCUACCCAAACCCAUUACAAAACCCAAAUAUUAAACCCAAUUCAAAAGCCCAUUAAACCCCCAAAAAAAAACCUAACCCAAAAAAACCUAACCCAAAAAAAAAAAUCAAGAAACCCUAGCCACCUAGCCACUUUCCCACUUGCCUCAUUUCCUCCCAUUUUUGAUAUCCAUUGUCUGCCACCAUCACUGCUCCACCAAGCCACACCCUGCAAAAGCAAAGCAAACAAGCAAGACAAACAAAAGAAAUAGAAAAAGAAAUAAUAGAAAAUCAUGUAAAAGAUAGCUAUAAAAAGCCAUUCAAAAAUCAUGUAGAAGGGGGGGCAUUGAUAUAUCAAAAAAACAAAAGAUUUAAACAAAAGAUAGCAAGCUGAUCAAAAACCAAUUCAUCACACGAAUGUCUUGUUCUUUUUAGUUUAUUUUUUUUAUCUUUUAUCUUUACUUUCUCUUUCGCAUAUAUAUACUCUUAUUUCUUUUAUUUUAUAUAAAAAAACAUAUAUAUAUAGACAUAGAUAAAAAAUAUUAUAGUAAAAAAAAAAACAAAUUUUUUUUACCUUUUCCGGCCACCGUCCACGGUGGCCUGCGGUGGUUGGCGGCGGCGGCCGGCGACGGUCCAGUGACCAGACGGUGACCGGCCUUGUGGCCGAAAAUCACCUCACCCUUCUCCCUCUCUCUCUCUUUUUUUUUCUUUUUUCUUUUCAAGUGCAAGAAUGAAUUUUUUGAAGAAAAAGGGCCUUUUAUAGCCCCCAAAACGACGUCGUUUUGGGGUUGGCCAUUAAACCCCAAAACGACGUCGUUUUGACAUGGAUCGAUUCGACCCGACCCGGCCCGCCUAAGAUCCGCGUGUUUUUUUAAAGGAAGGGCUAAUUGCGCUUUUAGCCCUUCUGCUUUUUAUUGCUUGGCAAUUAAGUCAUUAUUCGUUUUUUUAAUUUGGCCCCGAAAUUUAUCGCGAUUUUCAAUUUAGUCCUCGCUGAUGUGCUGAGUUUUGAUGGGAAGGAAUAUUUGCUGUUUUGGCCCCCCACUAUUUCCGCGCGUGUUCAAUAUAGUCUUUUCCUUUUAUUUUUAUUUCAAUUUUGCCCCAAAUAUUUUGUUUUUAGUUCAAUUUAAUUCUUUUUAGUUACUUUACUAUUUAAAUUAAUUAUUUUAGUAUUAUUAUUAUAUUUUAUUUACUUAUGUAGUGUGUUAAUAAUUUUUUUUAUCAUUUCUAAUACGUAUAUAUAUUAUAUGUAUUUUAUAUAUAUUAUGUAUAUAUUUUUUAAUGCCAUUAGUUAUAUAUUUCUUAUACUAUUCCAUGUAUGUAUUUUAUAUCAUCUUAUGUAUAUAUUCUUAAAUACUAUUAUAUAUACAUAUAUAUAUUUUAAAUACCAUAUUGUGUAUAUAUUAUUAUUACAAAUUAUUACUAUUGCUAGUAUUAUUAUAAUUAUUAUUAUAUUAGUGUAUAUUUUAUGUACAUAUGUAUAUAUAUUUUUUUUUUGUACAUAUCAUUAUUUUAUAUUAUUGUUGUAAAUUUUUUAUGUAUAUAUUUUUUAUGUACGUUUCCUAAUAUUUUCUUUUAUUGUAGAUAUUAUUAUUAUUAUUAUUACAUACUUUUAUUAUAUGCAUAUAUAUAUUUUUAUGUACAUAUUAUUAUUUUAUAUUAUUAUUACCAAAUAUAUCAUUUUUCCUAUUUUAUUAUUAGUACAUGAUUUGUUUUUAUUUUUAUUUUUUUUGUAAAUAUCAUUAUUAUUGUUAUUCUAAUAUUCUAGUAUUCCAUGUUAAUAUUUUUCAUUAAUGAUAUCAUUUUUUUGCGUCCUUUAUCUAUUUUUAAUUUCUCAUUUUAGGAAUAUUUUUUCUCAUGUUUUAAUUAAUUUCAAAAAUAAGGCAAUGUACCGAUUUAAUAUUAAGCCAUCGAUUUCAUCGCUAUGUUGGGUGAAAUUCGUCUGCUUGUGUUAAAAAACGGGACACCCUUUCUAAAAAAAAUCGAAAACUAAAAAUUCUCAUUUUUCAAUUGGAUCACGAGUAAAUGUCAAAUUGAAUUCGUACUUUUGAAAAUCAAGCCAACACGAGUUUAACAACCAAUUUCUACUUUUGGUCGCUAAUUAAGGCAAUUAUUUGAAAAUUUAAAAACCAACUUUUGAUUUUUUUAAAAAAGGGAGUCGCCACCGAUCUUUUUUCUAGGUGUGACCGGACACCUAAUAAAUCAUCCUUUUUUAGAAAAGAAAACUUAUUCUUGCACAGAAAUGAAGGCCGAAUUUAGGUCUACGUCAAAAGCCAGAGUAAAGUUGGGUUCGGGAGUCGGAUACGCGCGAGGAAGGUAUUAGCACCCUUGCGACGCCCAAAAUUGGUAUCUUGUUAAACUCGUGUUGUCUUGAUUUUCAAAAGUACGAAUUCAAUUUGACAUUUACUCGUGAUCCAAUUGAAGGAAAUGAGAAGUUGUAAGUUUUUGGUUUUUUAGAAGGAUAUCCUGUUUUUAACACGAGCUGACUAACUUCACUCAACAUAGCGAUGAAAUCAAUGACUUAAUGUUAAAAUCGGUACAUUGCCUUAUUCUUAAAAUUAAAAUGUAAAAAGUUUCUAAAAUGAUAGUAAAAAAAAUCUAAGAAUAUUAUUGUAAAAAAUGCGAAUAGUUAUGUGAAUAAUAAAGUAUAUAAAAUAUAAAAUAUCAAAAUAUCAAAAUAUUAGAAUAAUAAUAAUUAAUAUUGACAAAUAAAAAAAUAAAAUAGAAAUAAAUAUAUAUUAGAAAUAAUAAUAAUGUUUAAAAAUAAUACUAUUAAUAAUACUACAUAAAUAUGUACAUAUAUAAAAAAUAAAUACGUGAUAAUAUUAAAAAUAUGUACAUAAUAUAGUGUAAAAAAUACAUACAUAAUAUAAUUAAAAUAUAUACAUAAGAUAACAUGUAGAAAAAAAAAAUAUAAAUAAUAUAGUAUUAAAGAUAUAUACAUAAAAUAGUAUAAUAUAUAUACGUAAUAUAGAAUUUAGAAUAUACCUAAUAUAUUAAAAGAAUAUAUAUAUAAUAUAAUAUUAAGAAAUAUAAUAAUAACAAAAAAAAGAGAGAGGGAGAGAGUGGGUGAUUUCCGGCGACAAGGCCGGCCACCGUCCGCUCACCGAACCGCCGCCGACCGCCGUUGGCGCCACCGUACACGGCAGCCGAACCUCAAAAAAACUUUUUCGGUAAAAAUGAGAAAGCUUACUCCUUUUAUUUUUACUUUCGUAUAAAAGAAACAAAAUAAAACUGAAAGGAAAACAAUAAGCAAACAAAGAACUUAAAACGAGAAUAGACAAAGAAACCUCUUUUGCUUUGAUCUUUGAUUAAUCUCAAAAAAAAAAAAAACUAGCCUCUCCAAAAACUAAACUUUACAAUAACUCUUCUCCUUGAUUACUCUAAAAAAACCUCUUAAAAAUCCUUUGCAAUAACUUUCUCCCCCCCCAAAAAAAACUUCUUCAAAAAAAAAUUCUCAAAAAAAAAACUCCUCAAAAAACCCCCAUUUUACAUGAUUUUUGAAUGGCUCUUUAUAGCUAUCUUUUACAUGAUUUUCUAUUAUUUGUUUUUCUAUUUCUUUUGUCUGUCUUGCUUGUUUGCUUUGCUUUUGCAGGGUGUGGCUUGGUGGAGUAGGUGAUGGUGGCAGACAAUGGAUAUAAAAAAUGGGAGGAAAAUGAGGCAAGUGGGAAAGUGGCUAGGUGGCUAGGGCUUCUUAUUUUUUUUUUAGGUUAGGUUUUUUUUUUGAGUUUAAUGGGCUUUUGAAUUGGGUUUAAUAUUUGGGUUUUGUAAUGGGUUUGGGUAGAUGUAAAUGAGUCAUGGGUUAAGGGUUUUAGUGGGUUUAGAGGUUUGGUUGGGUUUUGAUGUAAUCGGGUUCGGGCAAUUUGGGCUUCUACACGUUUGUAAUACAAGUGUUUUUUUUGCUCUCUUAGAUCUACUAAGGUUGGAGGUUAGAUUUUAGUGCUUUAAAACCCGAAACUUAAGUGGUUUUACUUAUUGUGUUUGUCACUUCCUGCUUCAAUGUCUCUAUAUAUCUUUCUUUUCUUAAUUUUGAUGUUACAGGCUGUAACUGUUUUUGUUUGCAAUAGUUUAUCAUAGGCUUACCAAGCAUUUUUCUUCAUUAACAUCAACUUCCUUAGUUUUGGACUCUAUAUUCAUUUUAUUUUUAAGGUAGUGUUAUACUAAAUGGUAUUCCUUCAUGUAAUAAUAGAUAAAUAACAAAACCAUAUAUGAUAUUGUAAAUAGAUUCAUGAUCACAACAAGACAACUAAUACCUUUGUAUUUUCUAAAAGAGAAUUUAAUUGUUGAUUUUAGUAUAAGUUUACGUUUGUUUGUUGGUUUAUAGAUGUAUUUUGAUUCAAUUGAAUGAUACUGUUUAAUUUUGUGUCCCAAGUAAUCACUCCCCUUUUUCAUGUGUAUUAUAAAUCAUUUGUUUGUUGGUCUGUACAUGUAUUUGUCUUGCUGUUACAAGCAUUUCUUGUUUAUACAUUUUGAAUUGGCUCAAAUUUUCUUAUACUUCUUGCUCGUACUUAUUGAUUUGUAAUUUCAAUAAUUAUUUUUUGAUCUUGUUUGAUUGAUUCUCUUUUAUGUCAGGCAACUCGCUAUUGCAUUAAUUGGUGUUCCUUUGUUUGAGAUAUUCCUUACGAAGAAGUAAUGUGGAUGGAGUUAGAAGGAUUUAAUGACGACUUCCUUUGUAGUGUAUUUGAUUAUCUUGUGGGUUGUAAAUCUAAGGCCAAAGCUUUUUUAGCUAAAAGUACGAAGCAUAAAAAAAUCUGACUUCAAAAAUUUUCUCAAGGUUGAAGAUAUUGAUGCUUUAAUAUGAUGUAGUACUAAUUAUGUGGUGUAAUACUAGUUAUGCACUUGGAAAAUAUUGUAGUUAUAAUGUGAUAUGCUACUAAUUAUGCACUUGGAUAAUAUUAUUAAUUUGUAGUAUUAAUUGUGGCUUGAAAGCUAAUUUUUUAUUAUUUAAUCUUUGUUUUUUUUAUAACACAAUUAGUAAUCAUCUAUUUGCUUUGGUUAUUUUUAAAUUUUGUUAUUGUUAAUAUUCUAACAUAAUAAUUCAGUACUAUUAUAUAUUUAAUUUGAUGUAUUUAUUUAUAAAAAAAUCAUUGCAAUAUAUAUAAAAAUAAUGUAAAUAUAAAAUAAAUUCAAUUAAACAAAUGAAAAAAUAAUAAAUUCUCAAAUAUAUGUUUGUUUUAUUUAAAACAGUUUUCCUAAAAUAUUUUCAAGAAAUCUGCCAAACAACAGAAAAUAUUUUACACAGAUUCAUCCAAACACCAGAAAAUAUUAACUUUUCGAGAAAAGUAAGUCAUUUUCUAGAAAUCAUUUUCAGUCAGACAAACGCCUAAUAUUAAAUAAGAAAACAAGAAUUUAAAAAACCCAAAUUAAAAGAAAUUUAUUAUUUUAAAUUAAUAAAUAAAAUUAAUAAAAUCAAAAGUAAUUGAGCAUAUAAAAUACAAAAAAGAAAUAUCAUGUCAUUUGUCACAUGUAGAUUAUACAUUGAUUAUUUUUACUACCGCAUAAGAAAUAAAAGUGUUAAUAUAUUAAAGUAAUUUAUAAAAUAUUUGACAAAUUCAAAUACUAAAUUGAGAAAAAAAAAUAGGUACCUAAAAAUUUAAAACCAAUGGGCAAACCCAAUUUUUUUAUUAAAACAAAAAAACAAAUGAUCCCUAAAAAAGAAAAUAGCUCAAAACCCAUUAAUUCAAUGUUUUUUUUUUCAUUAGUCCAAAUUUCAAUCCAAUUUCAAAGCCUAAAAUUCAGAUUUACAUAAUAAGAUAUUUUAGUCCAAAUCAACAAUAGUCUUGAGUUUAAAAUCAGAUUUGAAAAUAAGUUUAUCGCAAAAGUUUCCAUUUGGGUUGGAACCAAAUUUGCUGUCUACAUUAAAUAUAUGUUCUUAUAAUAUUCAUUUUAUUCCCUUAAUUUUUGAGAGCAAGAGUUUAGAGGGUGGCAAAUUACUCGAGUUUUGUCGAUUGAGUCUUAGUUCGAUUGUUAUAAGUAUUGUUAUCAAUGUAAGAGGACGUAGGUUCAAGUAUGCUGCAGCGCAUUAUCCUCCUAUUUAUGAGUUGAUGAGAGAUUAUGGGUAAUUCUAAGUACUAUGUCAAAAAGAGCAAAUAUGAUCAAAACCUAUAUUGUGAUUAUUCAAAAAGAAUUCACUCUCUGAUCCAACCGUUCCAACCUUUUAAUCUACCUCAACUAAUUUUCAAUUCAACAAUUCUAACAAAUAUACUUAGCUUUGAAAUUUGGUCAUGUGUUUGAAUAAUGGUGAAGGACUUUUUUUUUUUCGAGGAUGUCAACAAAUUUAUUGUGAUUGCAGACAUAACUAAUGAGAUAUAUUGUAGGAGGAUAUUCAAGAACCCUCCUUCGAAAGCAAAGCACCAAACAAAGAAUAAAGUGUUAAUUGAGUGACAUUGUAAGGAGAGAAUUGAUACAAAGGUGAACUUAUGUUAAGAGGAAGGUAUAAAAUAAAAAUAAUUUAUACCAUGUCAUUCAAUAUUGUCUUUACACCAUUAUAUGGGUUACCCCAAUUUAUCAUUGUCUGCCUCUUUUAAUCAUAUUUACAUCAUCAUAAGAGAUUUAAAUAGGAGGAUAAAUGCAUUUUAGUUUGCUCAAAUUCAUAUCUUCUUACAUAGACAACGAUGUUAAUACCAACCAAACUAAAACUCUAUCAACUAAAACUCAAAAUCAACACCGAAAGAAAAUUCUAUACUAUAAAUCCUACUCUAUUUUCCAAAGAAUCUACACUACUUUUUCCAGUAUAAUAUAAAUAUAUUCAUAUUGGAAGGGUAACCAAAAUUUCAAGGUCUUAUGUUAUGAAAGUUAAGUGAGUUUGGGAGGGUAUUUAUGAUAUUUGAAUCAAAUUAACUUUCCAUUGUAAUUUAAUCCAAAAAAGUAUUUCACAGAUGAAAGCAAAGAAUUUUGUUGAAGCAUCUAAAAACUAGGCUUUAAAAAAGAGCCAUACACACGCAUGUAAAAGGGUUAAGUGGCCUGCCUAUCUUGGUGCAUAUAGUCUUCAUUUUUCCUUUGUGUUGAUAAAAAAAAUGGUGAUCACGAGGUUUCCAAAUGGUCAAUUAUCCCAAGGAAGCAAAUGGGUUUUAUUGGUUUUCAAAGUAGGGUUCAUGGGGAUGAUGAUGAUGCUCAUGGUUCCUAGUGUAACAUCAAUGGAAGAAAUUGGGACACCACCAGCCGGUUUACUAUGCAUCAGUGAAUGUUCAACAUGUCCUGUCAUUUGUUCUCCACCACCUGCGCCACCGUUGAAGUCGUUUCCGCCGCCCUCGGUGUCGGUUCAUCACACUCCGCCACCGGAUGUACCUUACUUUUACUACACACCAAUGUCACCACAAACUCCCCAACACUCCCCACCACCAUCGGUAUCAGUCUCACCACCUCCAUCUCUGCCACGGCGGCCUCCAUCUCCACCGGCACCUUCCUCCAAGGGCAGUCCACCACCUCCUAUUAAAUACUUCUACAAUGAGCCAUCAGGUCAAGGGCCACCUACUACACCACGCCAGUACCCUUACCCUUACCCUUAUUACUAUUUCUAUUCAUCCAAGGCCUCAUCUCUACCUGUUCAAGUCUCUAUCUCGGCUGUAAUGUUGUUGUUUUUCAAUGCUGUGUUGUUUUAUUGUUGAAUUAUUUGUAUCUUUAUAAUAUUUUUGAGUUCAGUAAGGGCAAAGAAAUGAAAUAUAUAUACACUUAUGUGUAUGUAUGUAUGUAUGUAUGUAUAAAUUUGGAAACUACUUGGGGUGUAUGUUGUUUCAUGAUUUUGCUGGUGUUUAAAAAUCAACUAUAUUUCUCAAUCAACUUGUUAUAGAUUUUUCUUUUUUGCAAUUAAUAUUUUUUUUAUAUAAUGAUUACAUUAAAUUUUAAUAAAAUUUAAAGUUGAAUUAAGUGAAACUUUAAAUGAGAGAAAAUUUUCCCUAAAUUUGUUCCCUCUACUUAAAAAUUAGAAAAUUAGUCUUUGUAUCUUAAUUCAAAGAGCAUUUUGGUAUUUUUAUUGUUAAAAAUUUGAUCCAUUUGUACUGUUAAAAAUUUAUGUGGCUGACGCGAUACGAAUAGUGAUACAUGGCAUGCCACAUAUACAUCAUGUUGACAUAUAUGGACCGGUUUUUAACAGUAAAAAUGAAUGAAAUUUUUAAUAAAAAAAUAAUUUGCUCUUUGAUUUAACUAAUUAAUUUACCCAUUUUUUAGUAAAAAAACAAUACAAUCUAAUUUCUAGUACAAGAGUUUCAUUAUAAUUAGAAAAAAAGGACAAACUCUAAUUUCAUUAACUAACCACCAAUUCAAUUCAUGGUUCUUUCACCAAGAUUUUCUAUUUGGCAUAUAACUUCAAAAGGGAUGCUAAGAUGUGUAUUGAUUAGGUUAAAAAGUGUCUAUACUUUUUAAAUAUUCAAAAUGUAGUUUCUUUAUUUUUAUUUCAACGAAUUUAGUCUUUUUAUUUCUUUAAAAUUAAAAAUAUAAGUCUAAUUAUUAACACCAUUAAAGUUUUUAUUUCUUUUUGUUACAUGACUUCCAAGUGUGUUUAUUUUAAUUUUAAAUGAAUUCUGGCAAAGGAAUUUUAAAAUUUAAAAAGUAUAAAAGACUAAAUUUCUGAAAAUAAAACUAGGUUACUAAAUUCUAAUAAUUUUUCUAUAACUUAUUCAUAGUUUAUUUGUAACAUUAUAAUAAUUUAUAAUAUUUAAUGAUGUUUCAAUAUUUUUUAUAUUUUAAUUUUUUUAAAUAGGAUUAAAUUUUCAUAAAAUAAUAGAAAAAUCAAUUAAAUCCUUCACAUCAUUUUUUUUUCUUUUUAUCAAUUACUCAUGCCACUUCGUACUUAGUGACUCAUUAAGGGCUUUGAUGAAAAAAUGAAUUUAAGGAGUUUAAUUUAGUACAAAUCAUGAUUUAAAAGGUUCAAUUGAGUACACUUUUUAAUAAGGAGUUUAAUUGAUAUUUUAGUUUUUUUCGGAAGACUUUUUUGAAAUUUUAGUAUAUAUUAUAUAAUUUAUAGCACAAAAAAAUUAAAUUAAAUUAAUAAUAAUAUAUGAUACUAUAAUGUAAACACUAGAAAAAAUGUUAAGUUUGCUAAUUUCAAUAAAUAAAAAUAUUAAAUAUUAAAUUUGAAUUUGUAAACACAAUCAUAUUAACCUUGGAAAGAGUUUAGUCAGCAGUAAAAAUCUGAUUUACAUGUUGAUUAUGAAUAUAAAAAGAUAAAAACAUGCUGAUUAAUAAUAUAAUUUAUUUUGUAUAUAAAAAAAUAUUUAAUUGAAUUGAUGGUCUGUUAACUUAUGACAUCAAUUUAAUAAAAUAUUUAAAUAAAAUAUAAAUAACGAAUUAUUAGUUUUAAAUAAUGAAAUAUUCAUUAAAAUAUGUCAAGAAAUUGUAGAAACAAAAUUGGUAGAAUAAUAUAUAUAUGUUAUGAUAUGUAUUUAAAAUGUGUUUAAGAAACUAUUUUAAAUUAAAAUUUUCACUAGUUUGUUGUAUUGUUUUGACUUUCACUUCGAGUGGAAUUUUAAAUUUUCUUAAAAUAUUUUUGUUUUUAAUAAUUUAUUUUUUAAUUUUAUAAUUUUAAAUCUGGAUACCAAAUUACCCAGAUUCCAUUUUUAAAAUAUAAAAUUUUAGAUAUUUUAUUGGCUGAAAAAAUAAUGAAUAUUUUGUUGAUGGUAAUAAACUUGUCUAAUCUAAGAAUUAGGUAGGAGAAAGCAGAAAAAGUGAAGGCUAAAGCCUUGAAAUGGACAUUGAGUGUUAAGGAAAGUACAAAAUUAAUGAUUUUUUGAUAAUCAAAGCCAUUACUAUGUGAACAGCUUAUUUAAUUAGUGGAUCCUCCAAUCUCGAAACCUGCUUUUGUUAAUUAAUGAAGUCAUAAAUUAACUUGGGUUUUAAGUUAAUCCAACUGGAACUGGGUGAUUUAACUAGUAAUUAUAUAUUUUUUCUUUUUGCUCCACCUUUCAUUAAUUCUUGCCUUAAAAGAACAAAACCAAUCAUAUUUUCUUAAAUCUUUAUUUGAAUGGUCAACCCAAUGAUGGAUUUAAAGCUUCAUAAUAUACAUUAGAGAUUCAAUCAUUAAUAUUUUAUUAAAAUCCUAUAAUUGUUUUUAGAAUCGGAUCAAUCGAUAUUAGAUUGGGAAUCGAUCAUGGUAUUGAUCUGAAAUAAAAGGUUGGAUCGAUUGACCCGUAAACUUAGUACAAAUUUUAAUAUAUUUUGAACAAAUUUUGAACAAAUUUUAAUAUAUUUAAUUAAGCUAAAAACUGUUUGAACAAAUUUUCUCUAAUUUUAAUAUAUUUAAUUCUUAAUAAUUUAUUAAAUCAAACCGAACACACUGACCAAAUUGUCUAAAUUGAUUUCGAAAACCUUGCAUAAUAGAAUUCAAAAUAUAUAAGCCCUUAUUUGAGCGUAAACCUUAUUUUAAAUGAAAGGCUGGGUUAUUUUAAAGGUUAAUUUAAAUAUAAAUUAAAAGUUAGGGAUUUAUGUUGUCAUAUUCUAAAGAUAAUGGGUUAUUUUUAGUUUACGUUAAAGAUUAAGAGCAUGUUCAGAGAGAGAAAAAAAAAGGGACUUAUCCAAAGUUGAGGAGAGGCGGGGGCGUUGGCCUUUUUGGCCAAAUGGUGAAAUAUCUAUAGAAGGCCCUCCAAUAAUUAAAAUAUUAAAUUUAAGCAUUUUAAAUCUUUCCUUAAAUGAAAAUUUUUUAAUUUCGGUCUCUUUUUAAAAAUAUAUAAUUUAAUUUAAAUAUUUUUAACGCAAUAUAUUUAUCUUUUGACCCCGAAACCCCUAAACAAAAUUAUUGUCUUUGCCUUGAAGUUGAGGGAUUUUAUUAUUAUUAUUAUUUUAGCCUUGUUUUUUCUUUUAUAAGAUUCGACAUGCAUGUCUUAAUUUAAUUUUGGAGUAUUUAGUUUUUAAAUCUUACAUUACUUUUCAUAAUAGGAUUACGGGAAUGUAAUAUUAUAGGUAGAAUGUGAGAUUAUCUUAUUUAAUUUAUUUGGCUUGAAUGUAAAAUUCAAGUGUUUGAUUGACGGAAUAUAAGGUUUUCUAGAAGUAUAUUUUACUCAAUUGUCCUUGUUAUAGAAUUUGUUUUUUUAAUAGUUUUAGUUCUUUUAAUAUUUUUUAGUCUCAAUUUUCGUAAAAUUAUGAUAAAUUAUUACAAUUCUCACUUUUUAUUACAACUUAUAUAUUAAUAAGUAAAUAUAUUGUGUUAAAAUAAAUUUAUAAAUCAUAAUUAUAAUAAUUCAUGAAAAGUGAUUGCAACACCAACCAUAAUCAUAAUUGUAACCAUAAUUAAUAUAUUAAUAAAUAAAGUAUAAUGAUUGUAAUGUAUGAUAUCUACUAGUUCACUAUUAAGAAUAUAUAUGUAUAUUAAUAAAUACACGUGGAUUACCGUAAGGGUUGUCAUGUUUAAAAAUUUAACAUUUUUGUCGGUAUUUCAAUUAAAAAAUCAAAAAAUUCAACCCUUUGUUGAAAUGUUGAUUGUCAAAUUUGACUUUUUUUUAAAGGUUAAAAGUCAAAUUUAGCUUAAAAUGAUAUUUUUGGUCUCAAAUUUUUAAAAAUUAAAAUCUUUUUAUCAUGAAUUAAAAAAUAUAAAUUUAUUUUUUGAUUUUUUUGAAUAAUCUCACUAUAUAUAGUUUCUGAUCAUAUUUGUUCUGUUUUUUUUUACAGAAUAAUACUUAAAAUUAUUCAUAACCAUUUCUAGCUCAUAAAUAGGAGAAUAAUGCAUGCACUUAAACCCACAUUCUCCUGUAUUAACACCAAUACUCGUACCAAUCGAACUAAGACUCAAUCGACUCUAUCUGUAAGUAUUUAUAUAUGGUGCUAAUAUACUAUAUAUUCAUACAAUAUAUUAAUAUUUGAAGGUUUAUUUCACUUUCAUAUCAUAAUCAUAUCAUAAUCACAUGUAAUAAUAUAUGGAGUGAGUUUUCUUUUGGAGAUUAAAAAUAUAAGUCUAUUAGAACUCUUUUACGUGUAUGAAGAUUCUAUAAUAAAUGUAAACUAUAAAAAAAUAAUAAAUUACAUCGAAGUUUUAAAUAUUUAUGUGGGUUAUUACAUUUAAUUAAUUUCUCAAAAUAUUAGUAUAUUAUUGACCUCGUCAUUAAUUAUAAAUUAAAUUAAUUUCAGUCCUUUUAUUCAGGUUCAAAAUAUUGUUAUAUUAUUAAUCUCGGCAUCGAAGUUAUAAAAUCUCAAUGUAACUAGCAAUGUAACUAAAAAUAACAUAAUAAUUUUAAUUAUUAAACUUGAAUUUAGAAAUUUAAAAAUUAAAAGGAUUAAAAUUUUAAAAAUAAAAGUACAAGACUAAAUUUUAAAUUUACAAAUAUUACAUUGACUUGUGGCAUAUUUUAAUUUUUUAAAAUGUUCUACAAUAAAUUUGGAUUGACAUUAUUAUUUCUUGAUAUAGUUCUUACUACUUUUAUACGUUUAACCACAUUCGAAUAUAUAUAUUCUUAUAUGUUAGAAUACCAACGAUACCAUUAAGCUUGAACUUAUAGCUAGAUCUAUUGAUUAAGAUUUUCAAAAUUGAAUAAUUGGUAGAACUGAUAACGUCAUCUGUUUGUUGGUCUAAUCGAUCUAACCCACUUAACUAGUUCAUUCAAUAGAAAUAAAUAUAUUAUUAAAAAAAUCAUAAAAAUAAAAGAAAAUUAAAAUUCUAAUUCAAUUGAUUUAAUUAUUUUUUUCUAUUCAAUUGAUUUAUAUUAAUUUUUUGGUCAAUCGAUUAAACACCCUUUCCUAAAAUGGUACCGAACUAAUUUUUAAUACAAUCAAUCCGAUUAUCCACAAAUAUAUAUAUAUGAUGAGAAAAUAAAAUAAAAUUUUCAUAUUCUAGUGAGGUGGCAGCAUCUCCAUUGGUUGGAGUGUACUUUUCCCUUCCAUUCCUCUCCUCAAAUUCACUCUUCUUUCUCUCCACAAAUCUCAUCUCUUUGACUCUCCCAUUUCUCGUACCACUCCGCCACUGUUUCUUUUUCUCUUUAACAAUGUCUGUCUUCCCUUCCUCUAAACCAGCCGCCACCACAACCGCCGCCCCGCCCCCAGCCAACGGAGCCACUGCCGGACCCCCAGCUGCUACAAAAACUGCAACCAACGGUGGAGCAACAAAAUCCAAUCUCUACAACCCCACUUCUCGCCAACCUUACCGUCAGCCUUACAACCGCCGUCACCACCACCGUCCCCGCCGAAACUACUGCUGCUGCUGCUGUUUCUGGACCAUCCUCAUCAUCCUUAUCCUUGCCCUUUUAGUUGCCAUAGCUGGUUCCAUCCUUUACGUCCUUUACCGCCCUCACCGCCCCUCUUUCACCCUCGCUUCCCUCCGUAUCCACCGCUUAAACCUAACGACCACCGCCGAUUCCGCAUCCUCCCAUCUCUCAACCCUUUUCAACUUAACCCUUUCUUCCAAAAACCCAAAUUCCCACCUCACCUUCACUUACGACCCAUUCACCCUCUCAUGCGUUACAAGUAACAACGAUGUGUUUAUAGGCAACGGCACAUUGCCGGCGUUCAUCAGUAACAGCAAAAACGAGACAACAUUCAAGGGAGUUGUAAUAACGACAUCAAGUGAUCUAGAUGCCGACACCGUCAACAACUUGAGACCCGAUCUGAAGAAGAAAAAUGGGAUCCCGUUGAAAAUUGAGAUGGAUACUAAAGUGACAGUGAAAAUGGAUGGAUUGAAGAGCAAGAAAGUGGGGAUUAGAGUUACGUGUGAUGACAUUAAAGGGACUGUGCCCAAAGGUAAGUCACCGUCGGUGGCCAAUGUUUCAGGGUCCAAGUGUAAGGUCGAUCUUCGGAUCAAGAUCUGGAAAUGGACUUUUUGAGACCACAAAAUUUCUCAAUUUAGUACCUUUAAUUCCAUUUGUUUUUAGGUCAAUUUUCGGUUUUGGUCUUUCUAUUAUGCUAAAAUUCAGAAUUUAGUCAUUAUAUUUUAAUUUAACAUAAUUCUAUCCCUUUACUUUUAUAAUAUCAUUACUUAGCUCAAUUAGUUAACACUAUUACUAUUUUAUCGGAAUGAUUAGCGAUAGUUACAUGAUUAAUUAUUUGAAUUAAGUAAUGAUAUUAUAAAGAUAAAGGGAUCAAAUUAUGAUAGAUUAAAGUAUAAAGAUUAAACCCUUAAUUUUAAGUAUAGUAGACCGAUAAAAACAAUAAUUUGACUUUUCAUUUACUUGUAUUAUUUUUUCCUUGAUUUCUCCAUGCUUUUGAAUUUUUUUUUUGGGGGGGUUCUAAGAUAAUGUCAUGAAACAAUUGAAGGAUCAAUUAGCAAGCAGAUCUAGGGUGAAUUAGUCUUUCAAGAACAAGUUGAAAUUAGGGGCUUUUUUUUGUUAAUUUUUUUAUUAUGAAGAUAUUUUAUGUUGUAAGUGAAUUUGGGUUUUCAUUUUUAUUUAAUGAAAUGCAAUGUUAUAAAAGAAAAUUAAUAACCCAUUAAUAUAAAAAAUUUACUUUGCUAAAAGUCAUCUACUUGUGUGACAGGUUUUAUAAUUUUAUUUACGAUCACCAUAAAGAAAAGGAAUAUUAAAUUAAUGCUUUUUGGCUCUCUUUUUUUCCCCAGAAAAAGUGUGCUUGGCAUUGCGUGAUGAGCAGUAAACCAAUCGUAUAUUACUGAGGGCUAUAUUUGAAUUUUUUAUUUUUUAUUUUUUUAUGAUAUUAGAAUGUGCCUGAAAGUACUGAAAUUAAUGAUUUUUCAGCUUUUUUUUUCUCUUGCUUUCCGUGAAUCUGAAUCCAAACUGUUCCAUGCAGGAAAUUUUUUUAAAAAAAAAAUCUAGAAACUUGAAAGUACUGGAAGAAAUUCAUAAGUUUGCAACUUGCAAUUAUUUCUUUAAUAUUCUUUUUGUGAGGUAAUUAGUGUAAUUUAUCUCUUUUUAAGUUAUUAAAUUUUGAUUGAAUCCGAUUUAAGCUGGUAGAACCCUCAAAUAAUUUUUUUUCGAAAUUAUUAUCUUUAGUUAUAAAAUUUGAAUAUAAAUUUAUUAUUUAAUUUAAUGGUUUAAUUUCAUUUAAGAUCAAAUAAGCAUAAAUAUAAAUUUUAAUAAAAAAAAGUUUGCAGACAAAGAAUUUAAUUAAUGCCCAAAUUUUACAAGGUUAUGAAUUUAAUUAUUAAUAUUAUAUUUUUAAUUUAAAUAAAAUAAAAUAAAAAGAAAAGGGCAAAAGAUGAGAGUUGUCAAUGUGACAUAUGAUGUAAUAAAUAAUGGGAGUCAAGUGCAUCCCAUGAUGGCGAAAGAGAGUAAUUUCAAGUGCACGUGGUUUCUGUGUCUUAUUGGUCUGCUUAUACAGGGGCAGCUGGAAUUUUGUCAGAUUUUUUCCCUUCUUUUCUUAUUUAAACACUUUAUAUCUCUCUCUAAAUUCUAUCCAAGGUCCCUGUAAAAUACGUUUUUAUGAUUUAAUCCUUCUACUCUAAUUUAUUAUUUUUAAAUUCUUUACAUUUUGAAAUGUAUGGUUUCUGUCUUGGGGCAAAACUUUUUAAAUGCAGAAAGUACAUAUGUUUACAUCGAAUUAUUUGAUGAAAUUAAUGGGAAAUUUUUAUCUGAAAACUAAAAAUAUACAUUUCGAGAUUAAAAAUAAUCAAAUUACGAUAAAUGUAUUAAAUCGAAAAGAUCACAUAGUAUAGGAAUAUUUUAUACAAUUUGACACACACAUAAAUAUACUUAUAUUUAUAUAUAUAAUCCCACUUAGGUUCACUGCCAUUUAUGGGUUUGGACCAUUUGGCUGGUCUUUUGCCUCUUUGGUAAGUUAAAUCAAGACCAAUGAAGACACUAAAAAAAACCAUAGGAAAUGUGACAAAAGGGCCAUAGGGAUUGUGACAACAAUAACAACUACAUUAUUGAUUAUUUCACAUCUAUACCUAACUUUUGGACCGUCUAAUAAUAUAUAUUAAUCUAUACAUAUAAUCGAAUUGUUAUCACAAGUUAAUUAGGUAUUAAUUCAUUUAAGAAAAUUAUAUAUAUAAUGAGAUUUGAAUCUAUUGCUAAUUGCAUUAGUAAAACCUUAAAUUAAUCACUUGACCACAGUUUUAUUUUAAUAUGCACAUUUUAAGAGUGUUGUUGAUUAAGCUGGUUUCACAAUUUUAUCUAAUGUAACUCGACACCAACUCAGGAUUAAUGACAACACAAUCUUAAAGAAUUGUAUUCAUUUAGUACUCUUAAUAUUAUGUAUUUACAUGAUUAAAUUUCGUUUUACUCACAAUUUAAUUUAAUUUUUUAAUAUCGUAUAUAUUUUAUGGGUUAUUAUUAAUUAGUUUCAAAUAAUAUGUUUCAUUAUUCGUUGUAUGUUAAUUUUAAAUAUAUCUCUAUGUAUUAAAUACAUGAUUUUCAGUGUGUGUAUAUAUAUAGUGUUAUGUAUUGCAAAUCACUCAAACCAAAAUAAAAUUUAAAUUAUAUACGUAAAAUUUUAAAAAUUUCAAAAUUCGAGAUUAUGAUGAUUAAGAUAAUCAAAAUUUUACAUCAUUCGAUGUUGCUAGAGUACAAGCAUAUGAAUGUUAAAGUUUUUUUUUAUUUUUUUAUUUAGAUAGGAUGAUUUUCAACCUCAAGAGAAAUGGGUGCAUGGGGGACACAAAAUGGAAAGGUAAUAAUGGAUGGAGAGGCAGAAGAUGGUGUCACACCAUGAAGGAACAAGAAUCUCAAAUUGGAUGCUUCAAUGCAUGGAAGAUGGGUCAAUCAAAUCUUGGCAUACCCUCCAAGAACAAAUUAUUAUGAAACAAAAACAAACAAACUAUGAUAUUAUAUUCAAAGUGUUCAAAAUUCUAAUUUCAAUAUUUUCGAUUUUUUAUUUUUGUUAUUUACUUAUUUUGUACCGCAGGGACUAGAUUAUGAAAGUUUAUCAAGAGACGUACACAAGAGGGGGUGAGAGGGACAAUGCUGAAAGCUAGAAGAUAAGUGGAGAAAAUCUUAGAAGCAGUUAAAAAAAAAGGAAUACUGCAUUUUCACAUGGUCUUGUCUGCUUCAAUAGCAUAUUGCCAAGAAAACCAUUUUUCGGCCGAUCUAAAGGGUGCCAAUCGGCUGGGUUUGGGGGCUAAUGGCUAAAUUUGCGGUUCAUGUAAAUCGUCAAUGCCAAUAUAUGUACAUUACAACAAAAGCAAACUCAAAUAAUCAGCAUAAUUAGUUGUAAUUGUCAACAAUCUUUUAAAGGGUUAGUGUGGAAUUCAUAUUUUCUAAAAAAUAGUUUAUACAAUCAACCAUAGUAGGGACUUAGCAACACAAUCUAGUCAGUUUGGCCUCACGUCCUAACAACACUUAUCAAUCCAUCACAUUUGACAGAUUCCUAAUCUAAUCCCUUCAAGUCAACUCUAAUAAUGCACUCAUCAAUCCAUUAUAUUCAAUAGAUUCCUCAUCUAAUCCCUUCAAGUCGACUCUAAUAAUGCCCUAGCCUAACAUCAGCCACCCUAUCAUAACACUUAUACUCAAUGAUUGGGAUCCACCCGACAUCCCUCCUUCUAUAAAUACCCCCUUAAGACCAGGGUAAAAGCUCUUCCUACAAUUUCAUUGGAAUUCCCAAGUAUAGUUGAUGUGAGAAAAGUGGAUAUAAAAAUAAUGGUGAAAAUUAAUAUAUAAAUUCAAAGCUCAAUAGUCGUUACCAUUUUCUACCACUACUUACAAGUACAUGAGAUUGUUGCCAAGUAAUAAAUUACAACAAAAUAUUUUCGUUGAAGUAUUCCAAAAGUCGGUUUUACUAAAAUAUUUUGUAACUUAUAAAAUAAUAAAAUGAAAACAUCAAGAAUUUAAUCAAACUAAUAUAAAUAUAAAAAUUAACUAAGAAUAAAUAAAUCAACUUACAAAAGAGUAAAAAUUAAUUAUUAAAGCGAAGAAAUAAAAUAACUAAUUUGGUAAUUGAACCUGCAAUGCAAAAUAAAUCAUAGUGGUGGAGCUUAUCUUUAGUUAAUGAGAUUCAUUCAGUUAUUGAUAAGUCAAUGGUUCAUGAUUAAAAUGGUAUCAAGAUGUAGGUGUCACGGGCCGCAGUACAAAGCCCAUGACCAUCACACCAAAUGUAUCUGAUGGAGGUCUAUUAUUUAGAUGGGGAUCAUUUAGCCCGCAAAAACUAGCUUGAUUUAAUAAGCUGUUGGAGAAGCCUGUUAGAUUGAAGCCUGGGUGGCCCAAUGAUGAAAAUAUGACAACUUAGGCUAUCUUGAUAAGUAUGGGAACUAAUUUUAAAAAUUGUUAGGGAAUCAUAUCUUAUAAAGAUUAGAUUUGAUAUGAUGUAAUCUUGUAAAUCUCUAAAAUCAAGGGAUAGGCUAAUCUCGUCCGUCGAUGUAACUUGAUCUUAACCGUCAGUUUUGGGGGAGCUCAACUAUAAAUAAAGAGCCUUCCCCUCACUUGUAACUCGACUCCAUUCAUUGUUUUAUUAUUCUUCUUAAAUAAGAGAAUAUUGAGAGCAUUUACUCAAACAACUCUCGUGCGUUCUUUUUAUGUGGUUUUCUAUUGUUUUUUUAUGGCUUCUUUUGGCGUAAUCGCUUCUGCUAUACAAAUUGGUGCAUUGGAAGAGUUUUAAAAGAAUCCUCACUUUGUGGUGGUUAGGCUAACUUAGUCAAGUUUGGAACGAACAGAUUGCUUAAGGCCGUACGGAUUGCGAGACGAAAGAUCUAGCCCUGUGACAAGUGGUAUACGAGCUACUGGUUGUGAAGGCACUGUUGGGAUGUCGAAAGAAGAGUUCGAAUAAAGGUGGGCCAGAAAAUUAGUCCCUUUGAGGGAGAUGCUGCCAGUUGUUGAAGAAUGUAUGGAUAAACUCGAGGGAUCUAUGAAAGACGUAAAUGAGUCACUCAAUGUGGUCGAGGAUCGCAUAGACAACUGGAAGGAACAGUCUAGAGAUUAUGUGAAGAUGUUUCUUGAUUCCACUAUGGAUGAGGUAAAUGAGUUGUUUAAUUCACAUAGGAAUAAGCUGACGAAAAGGAACGGUGCUUUCAAAGCCAUGGUGAUUGCUUUAAAGGAGGAAACAAUGACCACGACAAUGGCUUUGAACACAAGAAUAAAAGAGCUUGAGAAAACCUGGUCUUGUGUCGAGCAGCUGUAGGGAAAGGAGUGUCAAAUGCAGCACUUAAUUACGAGGAUGUCUCAAAGCCAAAAGAGUUUGUGGAGACAAGGUCUGCAUACGAUGUGGAUAAUUUCUUCUGGAGGAUGGAAAACUACUUCUGUGCCAAAGGCAUCAUAGACGAUGCGGUUAAGGUAAAUACUGUUUCAAUGUUUCUUAUUAAUAUUGCACUUUUAUGGUAGCGAGGCAGGUCUACAGAUAAAAGGAAAAUUGAGAUUGAGACGUAGCAAGAGUUCCAAUGUGAGUUGAAGGGACAAUUUUACCCAGAAUUUGCUGAGGAAGAAGCUCAGGCAAAGUUGCGAUGGUUAACGCAACAGGGCAUGAUGAAGGAGUAUGUUCGAGAGUUCAAGGAAAUCAUGCUCCAAGUUUCAGAUGUGACCGAGAAAGAAGCAUUGAUUAUUUUUAAAAAUGGAUUGAAGUUUUAGGUCAGACAGGAAGUGGAACAAAGAGGUGUCCAAAGCUGUCGAAGUCAUAACGGUAGCGGAGUCCGUGGUCAAGCAUGGUCUAGAAAAAGACAAACUUAGAUCUUUCAAGUCUGAAGAAAGGGGCGUAUGUAAAAAGAAUUACAAGGAAGAUAAUGAUAGCAGUGGCAACGGUGACGAUGGUGGUAAACCACAAGUUGGGAAUAAGAAACCCAACAGAAAGAGGGACAAGUUGAAAUGCUUUCUUUGCGACGGUCCUCAUAUAUUGAAGAAAUGGCUGAAGAAAUUCGCACUUUCUAAGAAGGAGAAACCGGAAGGUAAGGCCUUAAGACUUGGUUCGAGCGCAAGAAGUGUCGAAGCCAAGGAGGCCGAAAACAAAAAGAAGCCAUUGGAGUGCUUUUUGUGUCAUGGUUCGCAUAGGUUGCGGAAGUGUCCGAAAAGUUUCUCAUUGAAAAGGACAAUGGAGUAGACAACGAGCCCAAAAAGCUUGGUUCGAGCAAGGGAAAUGUCGAAGCCAAGAGGGUAAAGAGGAGCAAAAAGAAGAGAGUAAAAUACUUCUUGUGCUGUGGUCCGCAUGAGUUUCGAAACUGUCUAAAGCAAUCUAAGUCAGUUGUGGUCAAAGAAAAGGCAAUAUCGGAGCUUAUUGAGUCUCGAAGGGGAUUCCACAUGAGGAAGAUGUGAGUUUGUCAUCGAACUUAGAGGAAAAAUUUGCAAUAAAAACAGUGAAGCUAGGACUAAUGAGACUCAAUUUGAGUAAAGCGACAGAGUUGGCUGAGUCGUCGGUAAGGCUUUCACCCAUGGAAGAGGUGAGUUUGGCAUCGGAUUUAUUAGAAGAAGUCGCGAUGCAAACCUUGAAGCUGGGAUCAAUGAGGCUCAUUUUUGUUGACACAUCAGCUACCAUCCAUGAGAGAGGUGAGGCGUGCAUCAAGCUAUGGGAAAAUGGUAAUGCAAGUUGGACAGUUAACCCGAGUAGACACAACGAGGAAGGUACAUUCUAAACACUAACAGUGUUUUGUGUUCUAACUUGUUAACUUGACAAAAACAUAGGGAACCCUUUCGAAGUUCUUAAGGAAGGGGAUCGAGGGACUGUGGACAAUUCGAAGCCAAGUAUUGUGAAUCAAGAUGAUUCUAUUCGAAGCAAGUUAAAAUGUGGGUAAGAGAGUGACAUAACUUCUUGCCAUCGAGAUGUACAAAUGAGUGAGAUAGUUCGACUAAGAGGCGAUGUAAGCUAAUGCAAAAGUUUCGAAGAAAGGAAAAAGCUAAGGCAUCGAGACGAGACCGAUGUAAAUCAAGUCAGUGUCAUUCUAAAGACGCAAUGAGGGCGUUACGAGAAUGGGUGUGAGAGAAUGUCAUGGGCCGCAGUCCAAAGCCCGUGACCAUCGCACCAAAUACAUCCAAUGGAGGUUUAUUGUUUAGAUAGGGAUUGAUUGGCCCACAAGAACUGGCCCGAUUUAAUAAGCUGUUGGAGAAGCUUAUAAGAUUGAAGCCUGGGUGGCCCAAUGAUGACGAUAUGACAACUUAGGCUAUCUUGAUAAGUAUGAGAACUAAUCUUAAAAGAUUGACAGGGAAUCAUAUCUAGUAAAGAUUAGGUUAGAUUUGAUAUGAUGUAAUCUUGUAAAUCUCUAAAAUCAAUGAAUAAGUUAAUCUCGUCCAUUGAUGUAACUUGAUCUUUACCGUCGAUUUUGGGAGAGCUCAACUAUAAAUAGAGAGCCUCCCCCUCACUUGUAACUCGACUUUAUUCAUUGUUUCAUUAUUCUUUGUAAAUAAAAGAAUAUUAAGAGCAUUUACUCAAACAUCUCUCGUGCGUUCUUUUCUAUGGCUUUUUUCUGUUCUUUUGUGACUUCUUUUGGCAUAACCGCUUCCACUAUACAAAUUGGUGCCUUGGAAGAGUUUUUAAAGAAUCCUCACUUAUGGUGGAUAGGCUGAAUUAGGCGAGUUUGGAAUGAACGGAUCACCUAAGGCCUCACGGAUCACAACAAAAAAGAUCUAACCCCGUGACAUAGGUACCUGCAUUAGUGUAUAGCUUACAGGUGUUUAGAGAACUUUACAUUGGUGUAUGUCUUAUCAACCCCCAUGACCUAAGUUGGUGUAUAUCUUAACAAGUUUAGGUAACUAUUCAACUAGAUUGUUAAGUUAAUCGAACACUCUGUACGUUUAACUCUCCCUUAAAUUAUUCUUUAACCUAAUUGUCACCUAGGUUAAUUAUAAAGAACGAAUUGAGCAAUUAAUCUUGCUACUAACUUAAACUUAUCUAUAACCUGUAUCAAUUAAUAACCCAUUAACUUUCGAUUUGUUUCACCACUAUUUGAGCCGAUUAUUUCAUAACAAGCAUCGAAACAACAAACAAAAACAAUAAAGCAAACAUAACAAUAAUUGAAAAGAGUUUGAGAGAAAAAAAAAACUUCUUAAAAAAACUUAUUAAACAAUUACAAUUCUAAAUUUCAAUCCAAGCUGCUUUGGUACACUUACUUUGGAAAGAUAAUUAAAAAGAGAAAAAUAAGAAAACUUAAAACCUAAUUAAGCACUUCUCUCUUCUUUCUAACUAAGGCUUAAUUGUGGUUAUUUAGUCUUGUGUUGAUCUAAUUAGGACUUCAUUCGACUUGGGAGUGAAAAAUAGAAAUCAGGAGCAAAAAGACAAUAAAGCAACGCAACUUGCUUGUGUUGUGGAACAUGGUGCCGCAGCGCGCACGUAAAUUCAGUGCUCCUAUGUUUUUUCUUCAAUUUUCGGUUCACGUCUUGCUUUUGCUCAUAGUCGAAUUUGCUCCUCUUGCCAAAUUGGAUCUAAUUAAGACUAAAACACCUAUUGAAAUAACAAGCAUUAACUAAAAUUAACAUAAAAUGUAAAUAUGACGCAAUGCAUUAAUACUCAAAUUAUGCAACUAAAUGCAAUACUUUAAAAACUCACAUAAAUCCAAAUGAACACGGUACAAAAAUAUCUAUAAGAUGAUGACUCAUCAUACUCCACACAACUUUUACUUGUACUAAAGCAAAACAAUAAUUCUAAAAUGCAACCUAAAGAAAUAUUUAACUUGACUUUGACAAUUGAAAACAUAAGUAUAUACAGCUAGAUCUCAUGAGCAAGUUACAAUGUAUAAAGUUGAAAUCUCAUAGGAUAAGUAAAACAUAACAGCAACAAUAUUUUAUGUAAUUAGAAAAAGAAUAGAAAUAAUAGAUCUUCGUGCUCGAAUGUGCAACUAUCCCUCUGAUAAUGUGCAAAGCAUAACAAGAUUCAGAAUAAUCUAAGAGAAAUAACCAAGUUCAAGCAUACUUCUAAGAUAACUUCUUUGGACUGAGUAUAAAGAUUGAAUAUUUCUUCUUCCCCUUUGUUGAGCAUAAUACUAGUUAUAUAUAGUUUUCAAUUAUUGAAUUUAAAAUGAUUUCCUUUGAAUGCAAGCAUAGAUGACAACUUAAGCACUCAAUCUGAAUUACGUGAUUAAUCACAUCUAAAUAAUUUUUGGCUUUACUUGUCACUAUAUCAAUGGAGUACUGUCCUAAAAGAAUAACAAAUUUUUUGACUUGAAGAUUAAUAACAGCCAAAUACCUGAUCUCGAUUAUUCAAUUGCACGUUUAGCUAUUGCAUUAAAAAAUACUAAAUCUUUUGACACGAAGAUUAAUAUCAGAUCAAGCUUAAAGCUUGAAGGAUAACUCAACCUUUGAACAUGAUUCCUUAGAAGUAUAUUACAUCACACCUUGUCUACCUAAACUCUUUUAGGUUUACCUCCCUAUUCUCGGCUACAAUUUUACUAGCUUCAAGCAUCCUGAAAGACAAACUCCGACUCUUCCUAACUCACUCACCUUACAAUAAAAUCAUCGAGCAAAAUCCAACAUAUUAAACCCAAAAUGGAGUUAACACUUCAAAAGGCUACAAUUUUCCCUUUUAAUUCUUUAGCUUUUUCCUUUGUUGUCAAACAUGUAAACAGAAAUACUUUCUGUUUUGUGCACAACCUGCUUUGUGAAAACCAUAUUUACAUCAUAGCUAGAGAAAAAAAAAGAUACCAAAAAUCAGUUCUAUCUAUCUAUUCCUUGCCAUUAGUGAGAGUAAACAGGGAAGCACCACCGUUGAGAUCAUUCUUCAGCUGAUGUUGGUUUAAGCCACCCCUUUGCUUUGACACAUGUUGAUCACUGAAAUAAAAACAAUGCCUUUUGAGUUGUCAAUUUAUAAAACAAACAGAUUGCUAUAUGUUUCACAAGAUCUUAUAUUUAACUCUUCUAUACGUUGCAAACUUUCUACUCUCAUGCAUCUUUCAAUUCUUUCAACUAAGAAUUUUUCUCAGAGGACAGUACAACCAGUUAUAUGCAACUAGCCCUGGAAAUGAAUUAUCUCCAACAUACGUAUAAACUCAUACUUUGAAAAUCUUAUCUUUUACAACCAAUUUACCUUACUAAAGCAUAUGCAACUAGCCCUGGAAUUGAAGUAAAUGUUCAAAGUGCUCAUUAAAGUAUUUACUAGUAGUCAGGAGUCAAGCCGGAUCAGACCCAUUUCGAGAGCAAGCUCUCAAUACUAUUUUUUUCAAUCUAAGAAAGGCAAUGAAUUCUUUUCCAACUGAAAAAACAUCAACUAAAUCUUUAUAACUAUAGUAAUAAAAAAAGAUUAAUGGAUUCAUUUAAUGCAUUUAAAUCCUUAUGACCAAUAAAACUUCCUUUUACACCACCUCAAACUCGCAUUGACAAUCAGAAAAAAUAAAUCAAAAUGUCAUGCUAACUUAUGGAAUAACAAGAUACUAACCAAAGAAGAAAGGGAAAAAAACCCAGUUUUGUUAAUAUAAAAAAUAAACCCAAAAAUCAAACCUGUUUUGAAUUUUGGAUCCACCAGAGUCAACGCAAAAUGUUUGCUUCUCUUUCUUAUCAUCCGAGAAAACAACAUGCCCUUCUGAAUCAAAUGAAAACGAUUGGUCUCUCUUAUUAUCACCAAACAAUGGCUUCAUAUCUUCAUCCACAUCUGAUAAAACAUUCGAACCCUCCAAUUCAGCUUUAACAAGAUUAGAUUCAAACACAUCAUAGGCAGACAACAAUGGUGACGACGACCCACCACCACCACCAUCAAAUAUACUAAAACCAGCAUCCAAAUUCUGAUCACCACCAUCAUUGUACUGCUUCUGCGGCUGCUGUUGUUGGUAUUGAGUAAAAACUGACUGUGAUUUAUAAAUAGCAAGCUGUUGAUUAACGAGAUUAAGUUGAGUCUUGUACUCACCGAUUUUGUUAUUCAAGUCGCAUAUCAACCCAUAACAACCGCCAACGGGGUUUUGUGCCCUCAUAUUAGCUUCAAAAAUGAUGGUUCUAAUGGCAAUAACACGUUGCUGAAAGUUAAGAUUUUCUAUGAGCUUGAUAAUAUUUCGAACCCCAAAAAGUUUACGGGUAUUAAGGAAAUCUUUAUGGCGAUUAGCAGGGAAAAAUGGAGCCAAAAGACAGUUAUUGGUGCAUUUUCUACGUUGGUAUUUACAAACAGCACAAGCUUGUGAACCAGUGGCGCUGUUGGUCGCCGUGUGACUUUGCAUACUAUUGGGAUUUGUGCUCUUAAUAUAAUAAUUUUAUUUCAUGGAUAAUUUGCAGAAAUCCAGCCGCAAAAUAAUCCCUGAAUUACAUUAAAUAAGAACAGGAGAAAAUAAAGAGAGAAAGAAGGAACCCUAAGCCAUUCUUUUUGUAAACUGAUUUCCUUUUUUGUUUGGAGAAAAAUUAGGGAACGUGGUACUCUACGUGCAAUCGUUCUUUUAAAUUAAUAAAAUAAUAUAUAUUUUUUAAAAAAUUUGAAACAAUUUUUUUAUUUAUUUAUUUUGAUAAUUGCAUUUUGAACUCUAAUUUAUCUGCUUACUUGAUUUUGAUGUUAACUUUUUAUUAGAAAAAGAGGUAUUUUUUAGUAUUUAAAUUAAACUCUUUUUUGUUAAAUAUAUAGAAAGCCCCUUUAUUUUUUUUCUUUUUCUGUGUUUUUUUUAGUUUUAGUCAUUUUUUUUUGCUAAUUUUGUAAAUACUAUUUUUUCUUUAAACUGUAACAUAUAUACUUUAACAUUUUUAUAAUACACAAAAAUGUAUAUAUUUAUUUGACGGUCCAAGUCUGGUUUGGGCUGUACCCUAACAAAAUUUUUUGAGGGAUAAAGUUGUAAAUAUGAACUUUAAUUUAAUAUAUAAUGUUAAAUAUAAACAUCAAUUUUGUACAAUUUUAUAUAUACAAUGUUGAUUUAAGUUAAUUUUCACAAACCACAAAUGCCAUUAUCUAUAUAACAUUAUUUUACAUUUACAUAUCACGUAUACAAAUAAUUAUUAUUAUUCAAUAUAAAAAUAAGUUGAUGUAUUUUUUCUUUAAAUAUGCACAAUUGCUUCAAAAUCAAAGUUUUUUUUGUAUAUAUUUGAACUACAAUCAAAAUUUUAUGUGUAUAGUAUAUCAAAUUAAAGUUCACUUAUAAAUAUAUUAGCCCAAAAUUUAUGUAUAAUUUUUAUAUUUAUCUAUUUUCUAAGAUAAAUACUUCCUUUGAAUUAUCACAGUUAAUAAUUUUUAGUUAAAAUUUUAACCUUUCACCUUAAUUAUUUUAAAUAUUUUAAUUAAUUAAAGUUUAUAAAAAUAUAUUUAAAAAUCACAUCAUUGAAAUUUUUCAUUAUAUUUAUCUAUAGUAAAUUUUAAAGAAUAAGAUCUCAAAAACCAAAUAAAAUUGACCAUGCUUUUUUAAAAUUGUAUAAUAACAAUUUCAACUUUUAAUUUUAUAUCUUUUAUUAAAUUAACCACUUUUCUAAAAUUAAAUUUCGCACUCAAUUUUCAAUCUUUUAAAAAGUGCAUUUUAUUUAAAAACAUUUAAUGAAUCCAUUAAUCUUUUAUUAAAUUAAAUUUUACUCUUUUUAAAAAAAUUAAUGAUUAAAUUUAACUAAAUAAUAAUAAUAAUUAAAUUGACAAAAGAUCUAAACAAAUAAGGUGGCACGUUCUAAUUGGCUGGUAGGUACCAUACCAAAAUGAAUGAAGGUGCAAAGUUGACACCGAAGUAGAGUAUAAUUCAAGAGCUGAAUUUUCUUAGAAAUUAACAAAAGUUACCCAAAACCUGCAUUUCGUUUAAAAGCUUCCAUUACAUUAUUACAUUUUUAAGUUUGGCAAAAAGGGACCCUGCAUUUCCCGACUUUUUUACUUUCCAAAAUAACACAAAGACCAGGUAAUCAAAAUAUACUCCAACAGCAAAAUGGUGAUAAUAUAGCACUUUAUUAUUAAGGCUUUUUACUAAUUUAUCCCAAGGGGAGUAUACUCUUAAAUGGAACAUUACCACUGUACCACGAGUAAAUUUGUCAAAAAGGGUGUUCAGGAAAAAUUGGGGUGGAGGGGGAAGCCAUGCAUUUCUCCACAACUCGACUGCUACUUCCAUGGCAAAGUCACUCAUUUUUCUUAUAUAUCUUUCAAUCCAUGGUCGGACACAAGGUUGUACAUAACUAAACCCAGUGGCAGCAGAGCAGCAGCAGCAAUCAGGUUACUAAAACCUAAAGGCCGGAGAAGAAUAUAUGUAUGUGCACAUUCAGUUAAAUAAAUGACCAACAGGCAAGAAACCCUACCAGCUCAUUCCAUGCUAAGAUCCAACGGGAGCAACCCCUUUGCCUUUAGCUGCAGCAGUUGCAGUUGCAGUGGCGGUGGCGGUGGCUGCUGCUACAGCGGCGGCAGAUGCGGCUGGAAUUGCACUUGAAGGCACUGGGUUGGACUUAGAUCCAUUCUGUGGUUCAAUCCUCUGUUCACACUGUUCUUGCUGCUGCUGAGAGUUGAACUGGGCAAGCAUAGCCUCAAUCUGGCUUCCUGUGAGUGUCUCAUGCUCAAGCAAUGCCUUAGCAAGUGCAUAAUGUUCUUUACAGUGGGUGGUGAGAAUGGUUUUUGCAUUGUUAUAAGCCCUCUCCAGCAACUCCCUCACUUCUUUCUCGAUAAGAAGUCUAGUCUCAGUGCUCAUGCUCUUGCCGUUGUCAUUAUAAAAAUGAGUAACAGGCCCCACUUCUUUACUCAUGCCAUACCUUGUAACCAUUCUUCGAGCUAGAUUAGUCGCAUUCUCAAGAUCAGACACUGCACCAGAGGUAACUUCAUUUUCCCCAAAGAUAAGCUCUUCUGCAACCCGUCCUCCCAUAGCAACAUCAAGCCUCGCAAGCAUCUGCUUUCGAGAAAAGCUUGUUUGAUCCUUCUCAGGCAACUGGGACACCAUGCCAAGAGAGCUUCCUCGAGGGACUAUUGUUGCUUUGUGAACAGGAAGUGCCCCAUUAGUAUGGAUUGCAACAAGGGCAUGGCCAGCUUCAUGGAAAGCUGUCAAUUUUAGUGACUCCUCAGAAAUCACAGCUGACUUGCGUUCACUUCCCAAUAUGAUCUUAUCUUUUGCAAAUUCUAGAUCAGUCAUUGUAACUGCUUUGGCACCAUCCAUUGCAGCCUUUACAGCAGCAACAUUGACCAAAUUUGCUAGAUCAGCACCAGAGAAUCCAGGAGUACCUCUAGCAAUGAUCAUUAAAUCAACAUCCUCAGCCUUCAAGACCUGUAAUGAACAAGAACGAAUCUUUAGACAUCAUGGCUGCACACAAUUAUUCUACCAAAAAUAUCACAAAAACUAAUCGUUAAUAUAAAUAUAAGACAAACCUAAUACGGAAAAUUAGACAACAGAAUGUUGAUGCAACUAAAGCAACAUGUAAAACAGCAAAGACAAUAAUUAGAAUCAUGUUUGAAAAGCUAACAUCAAGCCAAAUGUUAUGGAACAUGCUCCAAUGGGGCCUGCCAAACACAGUCCACCUGAUGUACUGUCACAAAUCUGAUGAAUCUGCCAGUAAUAGCUGUCAACUUAAACUCAAAACUCCUAGAAGAAAUUAACUUCUACAGUCAACAUAAUACCUUUGACAUGUGGGAUUCCAUAAUCUGCCUUCGCCCUUCAACAUCUGGAUAAGGAACGAUAAUGCGACGGUCAAAACGUCCGGGUCUUACCAAUGCCUUAUCCAAUGAUUCUGGAAAAUUAGUUGCUGCUAUCACAAUAACUCCUUCAUUCUGUUUAAACCCAUCCAAUUCAACAAGCAAUUGAUUCAAUGUCAUCCUCAUAUAUUGUUGGUCCUUUGGAUUACGUCUUCCACCUAUGGCAUCUAUCUCGUCAAUAAAUAUAAUACAUGGUGAUCGCUUCUUCGCAGCAGAAAAAAGAUCUCUCACUCUUCGAGCUCCAACACCAACAAACAUCUCUUCAAACUCACUGCCACUGCAGGAGAAGAAAGGUACCCCAGCCUCGCCAGCAAUAGCUCUUGCUAACAUAGUUUUCCCUGUGCCAGGUGGACCGACAAGCAAGACUCCUUUUGGAAGUUUGCCUCCAAGACGAGUAAAACGCUGCAAGAAAGAAAAACAUAUUUAGAGAGUGUUUCUGUUGUGUGAGUGAGUGAAUGAGUGAGACAAAGUUAAGAAAACCAAAACAGCAAUUACCUUAGGAUCUCGAAGGUAGUGAACAAUCUCUUCCAACUCUGCCUUCGCCUCAUCAACACCUUUGACAUCAUUAAAUCUUGUGUUAGAUUCCACCACUUGCACCUCUUCUUGUAGACCAAGUCCUGAAACGAGGAUAUAGUCAGUCAGAAUUUAGAAAAAGACAUGCUCCAUUUGAAACUGAGAGAAAAACUUGCUGCUUAAAGGCUCUACCUUUACUAAUCCCUUUAUCCUCAAUAAGUGCACCAAUACCAGAAAUCAACAAGAAGCCAAGUGCAAGACUGCGAAAAAUACGCCACAAUUGAUCUUUAAAAUUCCCUGAUUCUGAAGAAACCAUGUGGAUAGGAGCACUAGCAGUUCCUAGGGCACCAUUGUUUGUAGGUUUUCCUACAUUUCGCAAAGCUGAAAGUCCACCUUUAAUCUCUUCCUCUCUUGCUGAACUAGAUAUACCUGUAAUUUAAUAUAAUCUCUUAGAAAACAAAUAUUAAUAAAGGCAAAGAGUGGAAACCGUCCAGAAUGAAAUGAACAAAUUAUAGUUUAACAUAGAAUUUCUAAGCAUGUCUUAAAAGAUUUCUCCAGAAAAGUGAAAAAGAAAACAAAAAAAAAAACAGAACAAAAAAGAAGCAAUGUGAAACAUUAAAGAGAGAUAGAGAAGCACAAGAACAAGACCAUGCACCUUUUUGUAAUGUCUUAAGCAACUCACUUUCAUCCAGCCUAUCAACUUUGACUAAUGCUUUAACAUACUCAGAAAGUGCAGAACGGUUAGAAUGUAAUGAUGCCUGACUUUCAAAUAGUCUUAUCACUGCUUCAGGAUCAUUUCUAAGGUAAAGUUCUCUUAAAUUAGCAACUUCACUAGAUUCAUACGCAUCUCGGAAUCUUCGAGCUAAACUGCCUACAUAGCUUGACCUAAACCUCUGUUGGUUACUCAAAAGGCUAUUACCUGCAACCAAACAAGAUUUCAGCUUCGGCAAAGUAGUUUUUGAGUUGAGAACAAUGAAAGGGUAAUCCAUGUAUUUUAUUGAAAAAGAAACAAACAUACCAGAAAGAUUAGUUCUAUUAAACAAGGAACCGAUCCGUCCCGACUCCGAUUGUUGUCGUGAAACCUGUUUUAAGAUGAAGUUGAAGAAAAAUUUCACUUGUUUAUCUAAAGAAUUAACUUUCAAACCCCUGUCUAACAUGCAAUUUGCUUCUUUAGUAAGCAAGAAUAACACACACAAUAUACUAACUAAGCCACACACCAACCCGAUUAGUGCAAUUCUUUACCAUUUCUACCACAAUCUCAUGCAAAAAUUCAUUGAAAAUAUAUAGAUGGAUGACGUCAUUGCUUUCAAUCCCUUAAGAAAACUUUUUCUUUAAGCAAAUGAAAGGUCCCGUACCUCAAUCAGCAUAAGCAAAUGAAUUCUAAUUCCAAUAUUUUUUUAAUUACCUACUCUACUAAAACUUAACUCGAAUUGGAAUGUUCAAUGCAAGAUAUUCAAGACUAGGGUUUCCACAACCCCCAAAUUUUCAGAAGUUUCAUAUCAUGCAAAAUCCAAUAUAUUAAACGGAGCAAAGAAUCUUAAAAAAAUCCUAAAAAUCAGGAGAAAAGAAAGAAGGCAAGGAACCUGAGUGAUUAACCGUCUCCAAGCCAUCGCAUUUUUACAGCGACCAAAAUGAGGUCUGAUCUUUCUAUCUUUUUCCUUAUAUGGGUGCUGAAAGGCGUGUUUGGUUGGCUAGAAAAUGAAGGAAAAUGCGAAAAAUGAAAGAGUAAAAAAGAGGAAAUUCUGGAGAGCAGAACGAACCGUAAGUGAGGAAAUGGCAAAUUCGGUUCGGUUUUUUGUUUUAUUGGUUAUAGUAACAGUAGCAGAAGAUCUUCUACUCCAAAUGACAUGUUUGCCCUUUCAAUUUUACAUUUCUUUUUCCCUUUUUGACCCUUUCAACGUUGUCAUUUUCUUUUAGGAGAUACUUUUGGAUUAAAAUGUGAAUAUCAUGAAUUUUUGUGAAAUUAUUAAUAUUAUUAUAUUUGAAUUUUUUAUAAUUUUAUUAAUAGAUUAAAUUUAAUGUUAAUUGUGAAUUUGGUUAAUUUUAUAUUUAAUUUAUCAAAUAUAAUUUAAGGUGUUUUAUUUAAUUUGAAAUUUAGGGUUUGAUCUUAUUAAAAUUAUUUGGUAAUAUUAUUAACUAAAUUUUUAUUAAAUUAAUUCUAAAAUAUGAAUUAAACAUUAAAAAGUUUUAUCAAAUACAAGUAUCACAUUGGACCAAAAAAUAACACCGAUAUCACAUUAAAAAAAAGUGUCAAACUCAUGUAUCAAAUUAUGUAUUAAGCCGUAAUAAAAAAAGGUUAUUACAAUUGUUGUUGGGAUUGGUUGGAUGGAAAUUUGGUUUGUAUAUCAAAGAUAAAUGAUUGAAUUGACUUUUGAGUGAACCAAUCAAAAUCAAUUAAAUUUGGUCAAAAAAAUCGACUCAAGGGUGAUUGAACUAGUUUUCUUUUUUUUUAAUUAUUAUUAUAAUUUUUUUAAUAAUUUAUUUAAUUAAAAUCGAAUUAAUUGAUCGAAUUGAUUUGACAAUUAAUCUUAUUUUAAAAAUUAUAUUUAUUACAUUAAAAAAAGUUUAAAAUAUUAUUUUCAAAAAAUAAAAAUAGAUGUUUAAGCUCGGCUUGACUCUAUUUUUGUUUUACAAUAUGUUAUAUUUCUUUUGAAAGUUAUUUGGUUCAAAAUAGGGCAGUCACAAGUCCUUAUACUCUUUAUAGAUUUGAAAUUUAAUGUUUUUAUUUUGAUUUUCAAGAAAUUAAUCUUUCAAAUUUUUAAAUUUUAAAUUUAAUUUUUAACAUUAUUAUUUUUGUUAAAUUUAUUGAUGUGAUAUUUAAAAAUAAAAAAAAUUUGGUAAUUAUGUAACUAAAAAAUGACAUUAUAAUGAACCCUAAAUUAUAGAACUAAAAAUAAAGGCUAAUGACUAAAUUAUAGAUUUAUGAAGAGUACAAGGAUUGUAAUAAGUUUUCAUUUUCAUCAUUAAUUUACUUUUUAAAUUUUUUUUUUUUGCAAAAAUAAAAUUGAGUUUUUUGUACAACAAAUUUAUUCAACUACAGAUAUGAAACCCAAAUUUUUCCUUAUUACUUAAUUCUACGUAAAACCCUGAGAUUUUCCCUUUUAAAACCCUAAUCGAAUUUUUUUUUUCAAUCAAACAGAAAUAGUCUCCAUCGACACCGUAAUUUAAGAAAUGCGAAUUUACUGUCGAAUCUAGCUCCAAUAUAACCUUUUCAAGACUUCUAUUGUUGGGCAUCUUUCUCACCCUACAGUUCAACUUGCAAACUGAUCUCCAUCUUGCACAAGAACCCAACGAUCCAAUGUCCAUUCUCAUCCCGAAUCACUUCUGCUAAACCACAUUUACAUACCACUUAAACAACUCUCAAGAGAGAGUCCCACCUCCCCACAGUAGUACAUUAAUGGUGGUAAAAUAUGUAUUACCAUAUGUUGGAUAAGAAUAUGACCAACAAGCUCCAAUCCCAGUUCAUAUCAUGAACAUAUCUAUCAGUUGAUCAAAAUAAUUUUUAAGACAAAAUUAAUGUACACUACCAAUGCAGAAUGAAUUGCCGUCGAAUUAGAUACAAAAACACUCAACAACUUGUUUGCUACAUCACACUAAAACUAAACAAGAUGUUGGAAAACAUAAUAAAACUGACGAUCUACUUAAUCACAGACACAACCACUUUUAACCUAAUCUUGUUGGUGGAUACAGUGGCCGAGACAUAUGGACCGUAGGAUCCGACCCCACACUACUCUUUGAAUCCCCAUCAUACAAACCAGCUGUUUUCUUUAACUGGAACUCAUCCAUGGACUGCAUUUGGAUUCUUCGUAAGGCAUGAUUUGCAGCUCUUUGUUUGGCCUUGGUAGACUCUGUCAAGUUCAUAUAGUUUGGCCUACUAUUCCCCGUCUUCUCCGUUCUCUCUGAAGUCGGCAUUGUAUUCCACGAGACCGGUGUUGUAGAUGUGCAUAUCGAUGAUGAUGCGGAGCUCUCUUCGAACCGGAAUUCGGAACUUGGACUCGAUGAUGAUCUAGUACCUUGACCAAUAUGGGGAGGCUUUGCUGAAAUCCUAGUUGUGACAUUGUUCUUUCGUACCUUCACUGAACAUGGUUCGGUCGGUCUAUUAAUCUUUCUAGACUCUGAACAAGUUUUCGAUGGUGGAGUUGGUUCGGAAGGGUCUGCCUGUGAUUGCUCCAUCAAUCGAGUUUCCCACGGUCGGGCUGCCAUCCAACGUUCAAGCCAACUCCAUCCCCAACUAUUCUUAUCAAACACUUGGUUUUUGAGAUAUGGAACUGAAACCGAACUAUUUGUUCGAGUAUUUGAAUCCAUGUUCAAUCUCCAUUGCUGCAAAACCAAAUAAACUUCGAUCAUCUUUCGAUAUAAACAAUGGUGCAAAGUUUAGGGAAUUCCCUUACCUUUUGUGCAAGAGAAUAAGCAAGUGCUCGUUCUCUCUUGAAAGCACCUUCUUGUCUCAGUUGUAGCUUUAUUGUAACAUCAUCCAAUGUUCCUUUACUAUCACACCAGCCCUCCUGAAAAAAUAUUUCGACAUAGAAUUAUCCGAACAGCUUAUAACGACAUUCAUGUAGGAACCAAAGUUUUCAGUUAGUUUACCUCGGCUUGUUUCAAGAGUUCGGCCUUGCUGCGGUGUUCAUCGAGUAUCUUUUGAACUGCCUGGCCCUCGAUGGACAUUCGGACACGACGAGCUCUAACACGAGCUUGGACACGAACGAGAGCUUGCAUGCACCGGAGUGUCACAGCAGCCUGUUUCCUCACCUGUCGACCGCGAACAAAGGCUUGGAUCCUAACGAUUCCCUUUAAAGCCCUUAAAGCCCUUCUUGCCUGCAAAAGUAUUGCUGGUAAAUAGCUGAACAACAUCACCAAAUGUAUCUGAAACGAGCACGGUGAGCACAAACACAGCAGGGUACAUACCAGCGGCAGACAUGUAUUCGACAUGGCAAAAUAGGCGUGGAUAUGGAAAAAUGAGAAAAACAGAAAACAGACACAGUUUGAUACAUGUUCAAACACAUUUUUUCCUCUAAAUCUGGGAUCAAAUCAUGAUAAAGCCCCUCGUUGAAAGCAUUGGUUUACUUGGGGUAAUGUCUCAGCAAGUCUAGCUUAGUCCCUUCCAUCUAUAUUACUCGAACUCGAGUGUGAACGUUAAAUAUGAGUAUGUGUUUAACACCGAUAGAUUCAAACAGUAAAGAACUACACUACAGAAACUUUCCUUCACUUUCUCAGACACCAAACAAGGAAACAAAGGGCAGAAAAAAGUACCAAGAAGCCUCGGAAAGCAGUUUGAAUGCGGAUAGCAGCCCAUUCUUGCCUUACAACCCUGAAAUCUUUAGGAGGAGCUCGAACCACAGCAGCCAUGGCAGCAGAGAAAGCUUCAGACCUUGGUGAAGAAUCAGAUCCUUCGUAAUCUGCUUUAAACUUUCCUUUAAAACCCUUCCAUGAGGAACCUAUUCCAUCCCCUGAAGAACUCCUCCAUAGCUUCCAUUUCUUGCUCUUGCCACCCAUCUUUUCCUACAAAAAAAAAAACACUUUGGUGAUUAAUUCUAUAUAACAGUAAGGUAACUUUGAGAUGAACCACAAAAAAAAGUAGAGCUUACUUGGUCAUCUUUUACAGUUUUCUUGAGACCAAUAAGAGAUUUCACCCAUUUCGCUGAAGCACCCAUGGUAGUUUCAAAGUAUAUAUUUUUCUCAGAGAUACAAACAACUGUUAUUUAAGAAAAGAAAAAGGAAAUGGGCUACGAUGGAAACAAUUGAUAACAGAGUAUGAGUGACAAAAAGGAAAUCUUUUUGCACCAAAAAAAGGUGGGGGGGGGGGGGAGAGAACCUCAAGUCUUCAACAAGACUCAAAGAGAAAAAGAAUCCCUUUCUUUUAAGAAAAAGGAAACAUAUUUGAGUUAAAAUUUUGAAAACCACUAAGAACCCAAAAUGGUGAGUAGAAAACUGAAAAUAAAGGUCAAAUUCUAGUUUUUAUCCUUCUACUAUGCUCAAUUUGAAAUCUAACCCUAGUUUUGUAAUAUCAUUAGUUUAUACACGUAGGUUAAAUUUUAGUUUUUAUCCUUGUACUAUGCUCAUUUUAGGGGAAAAAAAUUUCACCUAAUUAAUGAUCAGGUAGGUAGGGCAUUCUUCUCUCGGUUAAAUGGGAUAAUUUGAAUUUGAGCAUGCUUAAAUGUGUAUUAUUUCCCGAUUUAAGGGUUUUGAAGGAAAAAAUAGUAGUAAAAUUUGUAUCAAGGAAAAAAAUUUUAAUUAAUGAAAAAAAUCAUUUUUGACCCCUCCAAAAAUUAAUAAUUUAAGUUCAUGUAACAUUUUUUUUAUCUUUAAUCUCUUAAAAAUUUAUAAUUUUUCUUGAUCUCCCUUCCGAGAUUUCCUUACUUCAAAUUAUAUUAAAGGUUAAAAUAUUCCAUAGGUUCUUGUACUUUUAUUUCUUGUUAACAUUGGAUUAAAAUUUUGAAAUCAUAAAAGUAGAAGGAUUAAAUUUUAAACUUGUGAAGAGUACAGGGAUCUAAGGUAUAUGUUAACCUAUGUUAAAUUAAACCAUAAGGACUAAAUCAUAGUGUUAAGUAAAAUGAAGUGUAAAAGUAGAAAUGAAGCAAAAAUAAAAGGACGCAAUAACGGAGUUGGGAUAUAAUUUGAAAUUCAAAAGCAGGGGAGAAAGGAUCCCGCUCAAUGGAAUUCCUUCACUUUUUGAGUCUCUGACAAUUGAAUUUGGAAAUUUGUGUUAUGGCGUUCGAGAUUGUUUGGUCCCACUGUCGUGUGAAAAGGUACGUCGCCUUUGUUUUAUAGAAAUAACAAAAGUUGGAAACCGAAGAAAAUAAAAUAAAAUAAGACAACAAAUUACCCGACAAAGGAUCCCUCUAAUCUGUCCAUUCAAGAUUUUUGUUUGGUUUCUUUUGUUAUACCCAACCCCCUAACUAUGUUUAUGUUGCACUCUUCAUAUCUAACUACUAUUUAAAUUAAAUUGAGAACCAAUUAAUAUAUCAAUUUGAAAAUAAAAAUUAAAACAAUUAAUUUAUGAAUAAAUUUAUUUAUAGAUUGGAUUAUUCAGUCAGGUUAGAAGGUUGGUUCGAAAAGUGAGAGAAUUUGAAUAAAAAAAAUGUCUAUUUAGAAAACAGUUCAGGUCUUGGAUAAUGUUUUUUCAACUCGGGUCUAACUCGAAUUUUUCUACUAUUUUCUUGUUGUUUUCCUACUAUUUUCUCAUUAUUUUGUUAUUAUUGUUUGAAUAUUAUAUAAUUCUUAUUUUAUUAUUAAUUUUGUUACUAUUUUAAAAAUAUUUACUUAUUAUAUUGCACCUAUAUUUAUAUUAGUGUUAUUUAAGUAUAAAUAUUUUUUAAAUUUAUAUAAAAUAUUUACUUGUUAUGUUACUUGAUAUGUUGGGUGAGCCGAAUACUAAUUUUAACAUUUUUAUCCGUAUUAAAAUUCAGAUUAAAGUAAACUAAAACCUAACAAACGGAUCUUAAACUUUGUCAAUAUCUGACCUAACUCAUAAACAGAACCAUUCAAAACCAAUUAAUUUUGUUUUAAUUUUAUAAAUAUUUGAAAACUUUCCUGGUAUCGUAUCUCAUUUCUCCAAAUAAGACUGAAAAAGAAGAAGAGUGGUUAAGCUGGCUUUACGCACACUUGUAUGGACAGUGUUAAAUCGCUGUUCAACUUCAAAAAAAUCCUUUUUCGUUUCUUUUAGAAAAGUUAUUACUACGACACCACUAAAACUUUAAUCCUUUUCAUUUUAAUUUAAUCUCUUUAUUUUUUUUUGUAUAUUUUUAUAAUCUCUUUCAGAAACAUUAUUCUUUUUGGUGAAAAAAACAUUUUUUCACUCCACCCUUAAUUCAAACAACAAUUAAAGUAUAUAGUUUAAUACAGAAGGACUAAAAUCAUAAUUAAUUAUUUUUCUAUAUAAGGUUAAGCACAAGAAAACAAAGGAGAAAAAAAGGUGAG
rnacentral:lncRNA from 1 species